UGUUUUACUCUUUUCUUUAAAUGUAACAAUUUAUUUUCUUUAGGAUUAUAGGAUUUUAUUUUACUAAUUGAGCUGUUAAAUUCUUUCUUUUUGCAGAUUGGAUUGUGUUGCUGCACAUGGAAGGUUGUUGCUGCACAUGGAAGGUUGUUGCCACACGCUAGUUGCUGCCACUAUUGGAAUUAAUUGGAAGAUUGGGCUGACAGAGAAGCACUUGGCAUUUUGGGCCGUUGAUGGAAUAAAGCUCGCUUAAACAAAACGCUGGCAUGGGAUAAACUUUAAAUGGAAUGGUGCGUUUCAGCUACAGUUGCUUGGGGGUCAGAGAUUUGUAAAUCAUUUUGGCAAAAUGAAGGAAGCCCUCGAGCAUUUGAGAAAGAGAAAGGAAACCCAGCAGCUAGGGUUCGUGAAGAAAAGAGGGGUUCAACUAGGGUUCGUGAAUCAGCGAUGAGAAGAAGAAGAGAGGCAAGCCAAAAUCUCCAAGGCCCAAAGGAGACCAGCCCAAGAUGUUGAUCAAACCAGUGACGAUUGAAGAGUAGGGUGAAGCAGAGUUUGUUGAAGAUCGAUUGAGAAGCUUCCGAGUUUGUUUUCAGUUCUUCCCCCUUUUCCUAUUUCUUUCUUUUUCUGUUUUAGACUUGCCCUAUAUAAAGGGGAGUUUUGUAAUGAGAAUAAUACGUGCAUUGGGUGACAGGCAAUGUACUUAGACUAGGUUUUCACAUCCUCUCACUUUAGAGUAGAUUUCUUUACAGCUUUCAUAGGGUAGAAACUUUGCUUCUUACACUGGGGUUCUUGGAUUUUCCAUUGGGUGACAGACAACGGGGUUUUGAUAAACUUUGGUAUUCUGUAUUUCCAAUUUUAUGUUUUCGCAAUGAGAAUUUUAAAUAUGAUUUAGUUUACAACUUUACUUGUUCAUGAGUUCCAUUUUCAUUUCCUGCACUUGCGUUUACUGUUCUAGCAAUUUUAUUUUGUUAAUUCUAUAUUGUGAUUUCAGAUCUUUGUUUACUGUUAUGAUUUCUAAACAUUGUUUCUAAGUUUUCAGCAUUUUAUUACAUUUAGAUGAUUGUUUUAGGAACCUGUUUCAUUAUAUUUAUGUUUCUCGUACUUUUAAUUGGUGCUUUUGAAUUUGAUAUUUUGUUAAAGUCGUCUUUUUCCUUUUAUGUGUUAGCUUUAGGUUCCUAUUAAGUAGAUAAUAAUCAUAUUGUGCUACAGUGUUUAGAUGUUUUGAUUUUAGCAAAUUUUAGGUGGAUUGCUUAAUCUAUUUGGUAUUGUGAAUGAAAAUAUGCAAUAUUCAGUCUCUAUAUUAGAGUCUACAAGACCCCAAAGUGGGCUUGUUUAACCAAGAUGUCUUCUUGAGACAGAUUGAUAUUCACAUGUAUCUAAUAGGCCAAGAAAUAAAUUCUGGAGUUGUUUUGAUAUGAGCUUUUGAUUUUAAAUGCUUUUACUCAGUUUUACAGAUUUAUACAUCAUUUGCAUAAUAAAUUUUGAUUUCAACCUUUGCCCAUUAUUCUUUAGUUCUUCAUCUUUUAUUGUGUCAAUUCGGUUUUGAUCUUUACCAUAUCAUUUACCAAUUAGGUUUUGAUUUUCUUUACAUAUUACUCUUUGCAUUUUUAAUCAUGUGUCACUUCUCAUGCAUUCUACCUUUAGUUUCUUAGAUUUUUUUAGUUUCUUUUGAUAAGUCACUUUAGUUUAGGUAUUCCAUUUAUCUUUCUUUAGCAUAGAUUACAGUCUUAUUUUUUCUUCCUUUGCAUCAUUUUAUUUUAGGCAUCUUGCAUUCAUUUUAGAUAAAAUCAUGCAUUGCAUUAUCUUUUAGUUUUUUUUCAUAUUAGGUUUCAUUUUACAUUUUAUUUUCCCCACCCAGUUUUAGUAAAUACAUAAUUAGGACUUAAUUAUAUAAUUCUUAGCUUAGAAAGUACCAAGUCCACGGAUUAAUACCUUAGGUUGCCCCUAUGCUACAUUAGUGGGGAAUUUUGGUUUGUUGAGAUUUUAGGCGACAAAAAUCCUUUCAACAGGGGCUCUAAACAAAUUAAAGAUUUAUAUUUCUUUGUGGUUUUAGGGAUUUGAUGUGGAGGUUUGGUUUGACGAAGGAGCGUGAAAAGGGAUUUCUCGACUUGGAUGAAGGUGGUCUAUGGUGGUGUUUUGGGUGGCGUUGUGUUUCUGGUUUGCAAGUUGUGGCCAUGGAUGUUUCACGGUGGAGCUAACGAUGAAGGGAAUGAUAAUGGUUUUGGGGUUUUCCAUGGCUGCGCGAGGAGAUUGGUGGUGGCGACUCAAGGAAAAGAAGACGUGAGACCAUGGUGCUUGUUGAACGCGAAGGUCAGUUGAAACAGAAAGCUUGAAACAAGCUAAACGCUAUCUGUCUAAAAAGAGACAAAACCAAAAGAAGCGUUUACUUGACUAAACAAUACCAUGAGCUUAAACAAUACUUCGUCCAAUGAUGAAGUCUCUAUACAACACUUGGUAUCUUUAGAAAAGAGCUUAAUUGUAAAAUUCUACUGAACAAUAGAAAAUAAAAAAAAGAAAAAACUUUGUUGUCUUGAUCAAGCAUUAAAUAACAUUAAAUGCUUAACGUUCAAAAACAAAAAAAGUGAUAAGAAAAGACAUAUUUGCUGCAAGCACAAUUUACUCUACUCAUUGCAGAUAAGCUAUUAAACAUGCAUCCACAGAGCUACACAACAAAUAACAAAAGUGCACGUUAGAGACAAAGGAGAUAUUCACAUAAUGUUCUUCACUUGAAGCUAUACCUAAAAGGAACGUACAACCUACUUCAAGCAAAGUACUUAAAAAGCAUGCUUGUUCUGAUGAGUUGACUUACCUAAUAAUUGUUGUACAAAGAAGAAAGAGAAACACGAGUAUCAAGGCUAAAAGCUUAGUCUAACAUACAUAUACCUAUGAAGCCUUUAAAUAGAAGAACUUCCAAAAAAAAUUAAAAGAAUAGUCAAGUGUAAGCUUACAACAAAACAUUCAUCCUACAAGCUUUGGAGAGAGAAGAAAAGAAAGAGCUCAAGAAAAAUAAUACAUGUGAGCUGAAGAAAAGAAAAAGAUAAAAGAAGAGCAAAAGAAAAAAGAAAUACUCUCAAGCUUCAUUAUUAUAUUGCUUACUUUGUAAGAGAAAAGAGAGAAACACCUGCAAGUGUUUAGACUGUUUUGUAUUGUAAUAACAUCUUCUCUACGAGAGAUAUAGUCUGAAUUGGUUGUAAGCAAUCGUUGAUUGCAAUUCUGAAGAGAAUGAAAACACUUACAGUUGAACUUUGUUUGAGUUGAGGAAUCUAGGGGUGAUACUCUAGUACCAGGAGUGGUUCGAGUACUCAAAGAAAAUUUCGCCUAAGGUUGCUGACUACUUAAUCCAACAUCCCUUCCUACUCUUAUACUCAGAACUUACCUGCCUUACGCAUGUAGUUCUCCCACAUUACCUACACACCUCUUAACCUAAAUCGACCUUACCCAACCAUCAUUCUUUCACUCCUUCCUUGCCUUAUGAUUCACCCAUUCUAUCCUUCAUCCCAUCAUCAUAUUAUUCUAUUGUUAUAAUAUGAUCUGAUGUGGACUAAUCCCAUUUAUCAGGUUGUGAUGUCCUUUCUCUCCUUCCUUUUUGAUGUUUAGCAAAUAAGGGAGAGAAUGGAGAAAGAGUAUACACAUUAACAUCUAGGAGCAUGCUUAGGGGGAGUACACCAGAAGUUAGGAUAACAUAGAAUCAAUGUGAGUUUCUCCAAAUUCCUAGAGUUCAUCUUAGGAGUCCAUGUUUACAUUCAUGUAAUUUGUUUUGUGUUUUAAUAAAAUUUUAUUGGUUGCUGUUUAUUUGUUGGUUGUUGUGUAUUUGUUUACCUAUUCAUUUUAUCUAUUGUUUAAAUCUUCGCUUAUCAUUCUUGUCUUUAUACGCGAUAUUAUUUCUUUGACUGUGUCCACUAAUAGUAUGCAAAAGAUAAAAACAGUAAACGAUGUAAAAUACACAAUGAACCAAAACACACAAAACUCAACUAAAUUCUGAACUAAGGAAGAUUAUAUUGUUUUCCAACAUAGGUUUUUGAAAAAUCAUUUGAGACUUUUCAGUGUGCUUUCUAAAGGCAUCGUUUGAAACUUUUAUCAACUAAGUAUAUUGAGAGUUUAUUUGAUUAUCAUCCAGUAAGACUUUUAUUGGCGCAUUUAGUGGUGCAUCUUGUUUACCAUAUGCAUUUAGCAUGAUUCUCAUUUGAUAUGAGUUUUUAAAUUAUUUUAAGAUGUUUUUCCAAACACAUCUUUUCAACCCUUCAAUUUUUCUUGCCAUACCAAUAGUUUGUUUGAUCAUUGUUUAGUAAUGUUUGGCAAAGUACUUAUUGAUUUAUUAACUAGAGAAGUCGUUUAAAGAAACAUUUUACAAAAUCCUUGGUUCCUGGCAGUUUUCUUAAGUCUUGUUUUUCCAUUUGUGUUGCGAGUUUUAGAAGGCUAACUCUUCAUCGAUCUUCUUUUGUUAGUACUUUUCGUUAAUCCAUAGGAUGUGUUAAGAUACUAGUUGAUUUUGGUUGUUCUCCUUGGUAGCCUUUCUUUUCUUCCUAUAGUGACAUUAGCUGUGUAACUUUUCUUGCUAUAACAUUCUUUAGAUUCCUAGUGUUUUGUUAUUAGAAUUUUUUUUAUGAGUUAAAAGUUUUAGCUAUAUUAUAUGAAUUUUUUGUUGUGCUCUUAUGUUGUUUCAAUUUUAUUCCAUUGUAGUUUUACUCACAAAUUUGUAUUAGACUUGUUAUGUAGAUGCUUUCUUAUAUAUACAUUGUGUUUCUAUGAUGCUUUUCCAACUUUUAUUGUUUUGACCAUUGUAACAUGUUCUUUCUUGUAUAUUUGAGGACUUAAGACUACACGCAGGACUACUUCAUUUAAUGUUGUUUGUUAAACUUCAAAACCAAAGAUGUCAUACACAAUCCUAGUCUUUCUCUCAAACAUGCUUGUCUUAACAUUUCAGACUUUUGUGGUCGCUGAAAACCUGAAAUCUCGCUCCAUAGAGGUAACGUUGUCAAGUCUUCAAAGCAAAUACCAACAUUGUCAACUCUAUAUCAAGUGUAGGAUAAUUCUUCUCAUGCACCUUCAACUGUCGAGCUGCAUACGCCACUAGUUUCCUAUUCUGCAUCAAAACACAACCCAAACCUUGAUAUGAUGCAUCACAUUACACCUCAAAAGCCUUGUUUGUGUAUGGAAUAAUCAAUACCAGAGCAGUUGACAACCUUUUUUCAUCUCCUCAAAACUAGCCUCACACUGAUCUGUCCAAAUUUGGUCCUUACGCAUCAACUAAGUCAAAGGAUCCCUCCACAAACCUCCGAUAAAUUUCAUAUAUCGAGAAACUGAAAAUAAUAAGAAAAGAACUAUCAAUUGGUGUCCAAAUAAGCAUAAGUAAUUUAGUACUUUCCCUUAUACGUUAUUUUCCUAGUUAUAUAAUUGAAUUGAAGUUAUGUAUUUGAUAAUACCUUAAUAGAUAUUAACAAUAAAAAACUAAAUAAUUUUUACUUUUACUCUCUUUUCUUACAUUUUGUUUUCCAGUCGCCUCUUUCUUUGCAGAAAGAACAAAGGAUCGGUUGAUAAUAAGAUAAAGAAAUCCAGAGUGUUUUAUGAAGGAAAAAAAUACGGAAGAAGUUUUCAUUUCUAAUGACACUCUUUUGUUUUUAUUAUCACGAACGUUUGUUUUUUUUUUUUUUUUUUUUUUUUUUUUUUUUUUUAAAUUAAAAGAAUUACAGUGAAGGAUAGAAAUCAUUGUAAACAUUAAAAUAUUUAUUUAAUUAUAAGACAAUUACUUUUAAAACUUAUGACAAUUUUAAUCGUAGUUUCCUUAAAACUAGUUAAUUCAAAUGUAAAACAUUAAUGAUUAAUGAUAUUAGGAUCAACUCAUGACAUGAAAUUUACUCAGUUUUUAACACAUUACAAAUUUAAAAAUAAACAAUUAAAAAAAAUAUAUGAAAAAAUAUUUUAGCCAUAUUAAUAUAAAUUAUACGGAUGUAUCAAUUUCAACUUUCCCAAAUGAUAAUGAUUUUAUGAACUAAAUGAUUUAACAUUUAGUUUAAAUAUAAAUUAAAAAACAUGAUAAAAGAGAAAUGUAUGUGUGUGGUUAAGCAUUUCUGACUAAAAAAAAUUAGUAGUUUCUGAGAGGGAAGGGCAAAUGCGUCAAUACGCGAGCCUCAUCCUCUGCUCCCGCUUCUUUUCACUAGAAGCACACGAAAAUGAUCACUAAGCCGUUCUUUAUUUUUUUUUUUCUUGAUGUAUUUUCCGGAUAAAAUGCCAUUCUGAAUAUCUCGGAAAUUCGUAGCCUUCAUACUUCCGUGGAGUUUAGGUGUUGCAGUUACAGUCAUCAGAACAACCAAAGUUUCUUCCAUGUCCAAACACUGAAAUGGCGUCCAUUUCGACGUGCAUCACCGUGAUCCCCAGUUGUGGGCUCCGGCGGCCACAAUCCUUCUUUCUUUCCAGUUUGGCGAAGCGCCCGAAGCAAAAAAUACCUUUCCCUUGCGUGAAAAGUCCGUUGAUUGGGAGAGUCUCGAGAAGGGUAUUGGAUUCUAGGGUUUUGGUGGCGAGGCCGGGGGGCGUAGUGGAAACCGAUAAGGUGCCGUCGGAUGUGAGGAAGCGAACGAUGGAGGCGGUGGAUGGAUGCGGAGGGAGAGUGACCAUUGGGGAUGUGGCUAGCAGAGCUGGCCUUAACUUGAAUCAAGCUCAGAAGGCUCUUCAAGCUCUUGCCGCUGACACUGAUGGCUUCUUAGAGGUUGUUACUUUGUUUUCCUUUACAUUAGGAAGCUUCCAGUACCAUAUGUGAUAGGAUGAUCCUAAAGAGCCCAAAAAGAAGGAAAAUUAAAUGGCUUAAGGAUUUUAUAGUAUGGGUUUAGAAUAUUACAAAUUUAUAAUAUUAUUAGUUUAUUAUAUUUUAAUUUCCUAUAGUUAGAUAAUGACACUUGUAGGGCAUAUUUUAGGUUAUAUGUGUAUUUUUCUUACCUAUCGAAAAUUUAAAUGCUUGUAUUUAUUUUCCUUAUAGCUUUAGUGGUAGAUUUUAGGCUAUUGUAGAAUAGUGCUCAAAACUUCUUAUCAAUGUGGGGGAAAAAGUGCUGCAGUUAGAUCGUUAUUAAUUUGUUUCCUUGGUUUCCUAUCUAUUGUACACUCCGAUUAUGGUUAAAUUUUAGGAAUAAAGUUCUGUCUGUGCUACCGUGGUAUCUGUAGGUUUCUGAGGAAGGUGACGUUCUCUAUGUAUUUCCAAAAGAUUAUCGAUCAAGGCUUGGUGCCAAGUCGCUUAGGAUUAAAGCUGAACCCUUUUUUGACAAGGCCAAGGUAUGAAGACUAUUGUCUUCUCUGUACCAGUUGUUGCUGAUGUUUUAUCGCUUGAGUGGUGUUGUAUAACUUUGACUUUGACAGGCCGCAGUAGAAUACUUGAUAAGGGUAUCUUUUGGGACAGCGCUUAUUGCAUCCAUUGUUAUUGUUUACACUACAAUAAUUGCUCUUGUAACUAGCAGUAGAAGGUAUUCCAUAACUUUAAUGUCGAUAACUAUAGUUUUUCUUGAAAAAUUUAGUAAUGUGAAUGAGGGAAUGGUGUUCUUUAUUUACAGUGAUGACGAUAAUCGUGGAAGGCGUGGAGGCAGGUCAUAUGAUUCAGGAUUUACUUUCUACUUCAAUCCUAUUGAUUUGUUCUGGUAAUUCUACUUUGUAGUAUUGGAGUUGCAUUUUAUACAAAAUUUCUCAAAUAUUUUUCCUUCUUGGUUCUCAAGGUUUUUCUGCCAGUUAGAAUUUAAAAAUUAUGUGUUUCUGGUUGCUUAAUGAAGUUUAGUAAGUUUUCAUGUGCCUAAAAAUAAAGAAGAGGAAGACGAGAGACACACAAUUAAGUUAGGGUCAUCACUUACAUGUGCACAUUUAAUAUUGGUGAUGGUGAUGCAAGGUAGUUAAAUUAGGUUUCUUUCACCUCUCCUUUUGAUAUGAACCUUAAGAGAACCACACUACAAAAGCUUGUAUAGAUGGAUAUAGAGUGAGAGAGAGAGCCGAAGACCUUAUAAACCCAAUAGUAAAAUCUCACACUUCCUAUUUGGGACUCAAGUCCCUUAUCUCCCAUGUUAUUGAUAUCGCAUAACAGAAAAUACCGUAACCCAAAUAUCCUUUAUAGAAAUCUAUCAGAAGCCAUAAUAGGUUUUUGUUAGAAGUGAGUUUUAGGCCUAACUCAACCCCACAAAACCGGCUUGUAAGGUGAAGUCUGCACCCCACUUAUAUAUUAUAAAUUGGCCUUAUCUUUAUCCGAUGUGGGACUUCCAACACACCCCCCUCCCGCCGAUGUAUAUACAUAUCGAGCGUGAGACUAGAUAUUAAUGGGUGGUCCGAUAACGGUCCAAUAGCGGGUGGAACAAUCUGCCCAACAAAUAUCGCUAGGAUAGACUCUAACCAUAGCUCUGAUACCAUGUCAGAAGUGGGUUUUAGGCCUAACUCAACCCCACAAAACCGGCUUGUAAGGUGAGGUCUGCACCCCACUUAUAUAUUAUAAAUUGGCCUUAUCUCUAUCCGAUGUGGGACUUCCAACAGUUUUGAUAGAUUUCUUUAGUAAAGAUAUCAAUCUAACACGCAAAACAACACUCACACAGAUAAGAGGAAAACGUCUGUAUAUUGCUUUUGGUAAACAAGAAAACAAUGUACACCUCCAAAACUAUCAAGGGAACAAUUUCCCUCCACAGGAUACAAGGUCCGUACACAAAGAAUUAACCAAGCUAACCUGUUACAAGGCCCCCUGUCUUCUUAUAAAGGCAACCCAACCAAAUAAGUACUGCUAACAGCACAAAACCCCCCUUAAUCGCCUAACCACCUAAUUAAUUUCUUUUCCUCCUCUCAUAUACUCUUAAAACCUUAUCAGGUUUUGCCUGCCAAAAAAAUGCAAUAUAUGUGUGUAGAUAGAUAGAUAAUAAUAUAAAAAUGCAGAAAUAUUGUUGUUGUUUGAAAGUAAUGAAAGCAACCUAAUAAUAUUAAGUCUAAAAUUUCAAAUAGCAAUAUCAUUAUAACCAUUGGCCACCAAGUUCAAGACAAAAUAAUGACACAACUAAAGAUAAAUGUUCUAAAUUUAAUUCACAACUUCUCCUAACAACAAAGCAUAAGCCAUAUUCAUCCUCAACUUCAAAUUGAAUCUUCAAUUUGCUUUCCUUCUUCAGAGCAUGUAUAUUGAGGGGUUUCAACCUUUUAGAGAACGAAUAUUGAGUAGAACAAAGGGGUUUCAGUUUUUUAGAGAAUGCUAGUCCUAUGGUCAUUGAUGCACCAUGAUUUAGUUCCAUUCUGGUUGUUUGCUGUGUCCUUAUUUUCUUCUUUGAUUGUUUGCCAUGCCAUUGCUGUGCGGUCGUGUGCCUUUGCUUGUGUUGGUGGUCUGCUCUAUCGUAGUGGCCAUCCUGUGCUGCACGGGUUAGGGUACAAAAUAAUUUUUCAUGUGAGGUGAAGUUUAAGGGGUCUACUUUGUUUCUAUGCUGGCCUUUUGGACCUCAUUGUCCAACAACUUUUUGUUUUAUAUAAAACAUAAUAUAUCAUAUAAUAAUAAUAAUAUUAGAGAAACAUAAAAAAUAAUUUGAAAUAUAUAAUAUGAUAAACUAAUAGUAAUAACAAUAAAUUUUCAGUAAGAAAAUGUAAAAUGUUAUUUAUAAUGUUAUAUAACGUUGAAUUAUUAUUGUUGAAAUAAGUAAUUAGUGCAUUGGGAACUAUUUAUCUGCUGUAAUCAUGAUUAGUACCUAGUACCUAGAAGUCUAGUGCACUCUAUGAGUUGUACCUAGGAAUCUAGGGUAGUCUUUUGAUCUUUCAUCUUCCUUUAUAUCAGUUUCUAUCAUUAUAAAUACAAUAUCACAAGAGGGAUCUUGUAAGCCCUCCAAUUUUAUAUUCUCUUUUUAUUCUCAACUGUUAUAUCAUUUAUAAAUAUUUUAAUAUUUUUUAUCCAAAGUAAACUCGUAAGAGUUUAUGAUCUGAGUUUACAAAGUUCUUUGGUUCUUUGCUGCAAUACCAAACCAUGUAACUGUAUACUAUAAAGGCGAAACAUUUUUCUUAGCCUGUGUGGAUAAAUGUGGAAGAGUAGGGGAAGUUGAUUUGCUUUUUGUGUAUGGUUUAGAUUGAACUAAAUAUAUUUUCAUUCCUCCAAUUGCAUUCUCAGUUUGUAGCAGAUGUAUCUAGUUUCCUGUAUGUAUAAUCACAUUUCAUUUUGAGAGAACUUUUUGGUGUCAUAAUUUAAUUUUUAUACUAUUGAAGGUACUGGGAUCCAUAUUAUUAUAGGAGACGAAGGCUACAAGCUGAUGAUGACAAGAUGAACUUCAUUGAGUCGGUGUGUGAUGUAAUUGAAAUAACAUGUCAUCCUCCCACCCCACUUUUUUGGUUUCUAAUGAAGAUAAGGACUUUUUCAUUUUGGUGUAGGUCUUCUCCUUUGUAUUUGGAGAUGGUGAUCCUAAUCAAGGAAUUGAAGAAGAGAGAUGGAAGUUGGUAAUAAUUGAGGACUGAAUUCAGUGGUCCGUUGCCUUUGAUGAUUUUUUUUUUUUUUUUUUAUUGUUUCAUAUUUGGUACUAUUUUCCAUUUUAUGUUAAAAUGUUAACUUUUUUCUUUUUGCAAACUUUCCUAUAUCUUUACAUGUUUAUUUCCUCUAAUCCACUUUACUCAUCUGAUGUACAGAUUGGGCAAUACAUAGCAUCCAAUGGUGGUGUUGUUGCAGCUGAAGAACUUGCUCCAUAUCUUGAAAUAGAUUCUACGGAGGGUUUUAAGGUAAUUUGAUAUAUGUUUGGUUGUGUCUACAUACUUAGACAAGCAUAUUUUAUGUGAUAAAUGGAAGCUAAAAGGAGUUGCUUUUGUCAGCACGUGGAAAUUGAACGCACAUAGAGCUGGAAUUAAUAUGUAACUUAACAAUCUAUAAUUUGUUUAACAAGGGUAUUUAUUGAAGUGGGACUUAGAGACCUCAUAAUUCACACGUCUUGUGUCUUGGUAUCUUGCAGUGACCACACCCAUCCUUGUUCUUCUGAGUUCCUCUUUUGCAUGGCCAGUUGCACUCUUUUUUCUCCAUUCCUUGAAAUAUGAAAAUCUGGAGAGAGGACUAAAAUCAUAAAUAAAAUAUUUUAGCAUGGAAUAUAACAAAUUUCCUAUUUAAACAUGGAUGCUUGAAAAUAAAUUGAAUAGGGUAACACAAUUUAUAAACUUAAAAGCUUGCAUAAGGUGUAUACUGCUUAAUAUACUUAAAAGUCACAACAUAACUUCAAUUAUGAAAAUGCACCCCUAUUAUCCUUAGUAGCAUCAGCUCCAUUUGAAGACAUUUUUAGCCAACACAACUCUGCAUACCCAAACCUAGCUUUUUAACAUAGCUGUUAAACACAGCUAACCAGAACACUGAAACAUCUGAAAAAAUGCCCAAAGGCUGACAAACUUCAGUGCAAAAGCAAAAUCAGAAAGAGAAAACAAGGGAAUAUUGUUAGGAUAAAAGAAGGGGGAGUUAGUUAUGAUAGUCUGAAUAUUGAGUUAGUCUGUCAGUUUGAGUGGUUGGUUAGAUGUAAAUAGGGGGAGAAGGAUAGGAGAGAUUCACAUUUGGGGUUGUCAUUGUAAGUUGAUGUUAGAUCUCUUUGAUCAAGAAGUUUAACAGUGCACUCCACACACACCAGAACUAACAGAAACAGUAAAAGAAAGUAUGUUUAUUGCUGUAUAAUGAAUGAAACAAACCCCAAUACACCAAGGAAGCCUCCCUUCCUCCUCUGGAAGAAUAAUCCAGUCUAGACUUUACAAAUUCCAAAGCUAACUACCUGUACAAUUAACUCCUAUAUUUAUAGUAAAAGACUCUAACUGUAAACAACCCACUUGAUGGGCAAUGGGUCUAUCUACAUGGUCAUGGGGCCUUCCGUUGAGACUCAAAUCAAUCACUUGAUGUCAUACGAUAGCAUGGACCAGAGGUAUUGGUUUUUGAUUUGAGGGUUGGAAACCCAAGACAACUUCUACGAGGACCAAAAGCAAUAUUUGCUCAUUUUACAUGGACAACGGACAACAUAUUUGAGCUCUGCUUUUAUAUAUAUGAUGUCAUUCUUAAUUUUUAACCUUGUAUCUUUGGGUGGUGACAGGAUGACGAAUCCUAUAUCUUACCUGUACUUUUACGAUUUGAUGGUCAGCCUGAUGUUGACGAGGAGGUAUUUGAGACACUAACUUCUGCCUUUCCUUUGUUUCCUCUCAAAUGGUAUCUGCAAGUUGGUCCGGUAUAUCACUCCUUAGAAUUACUCUGUGGCCUAUUAAUAGUUGGCACACAUUAGGAAUUUCUUUAAGGACUAAUAUACAGGAUCAACUUGCAAAUACCAUUUGAGAUGAGACUUACAAUUGUUAUUAGUUGCUUUGUUUUUACACAAGACAUGGAUCUCUUAUACAUAAUAAUACCACAUGCUACUCAUUUAUAAAACAUAUUGUAGCUAUUGGUUUCUGCUGAGAAUUAUUUGUUCGCCUUAUUUCUCCUCUUUUUAUAUAUACUUGCAGAUUGCUUGUUAUGCAGGGAAAUAUUCUGUAUAGGUUUCCAUCUCUGCAGAGGACAGCUUCUCAAAAGAGUAGGAGGAAAGAAUACGUUGGAAGGAGAUGGGCAGAUUGGGUUGGAAUUGAUAAAUUUUUCCAAGAGAAAAAAUGGCAGUUCAGGUUUUGUAUUUGUAUUUUUUCUAUCCAGUUGUGGUUAUCCAUAUGUCCAUAUAUAUUUAUUAAAACAUAACUGUAGUGGUUGUUCUAUUGCAGUAAAACUGGCACGUCUGAGAGAGCAAUGGCCAUUGGUCUAGGUGGCCUUAAUCUGUUUGGAGUCAUUAUUCUCGGAACCAUGUUGAAGUAAGUUCUUCAGAUGACGCAUUGCAUCAUUUGUUAGUUUUUCAAUUUUUUUCUUGUUUCAGUGCCCUCACUUCUGUUUUUCUUUGAUCAAAAGAGAUAUGGCAGUUGCACCCAGUAGCUUCAUUAAAUUUGUAGCCGACAUAUUUCCUCUUCUUCAGGUACUAACUAAUAUUUCUAUGUUCAAGCAACUAGAUUCUUCAAUAUUGAAAAAGAGUUAUAAAUUGUCUUUUAGAAGGAACAUUUUUAUAUUGGUUGAUGAUAUUGUAAUUUUUGGGAAUUUGAUGGCAAUUUAAUUGCUGCAAAUUUAAGAUUAGAAAAUGAUGGGGUGGGUGGUUCAUGUGAACAUGGGAGUGGUUACUUUCUUCAUACCUUUGUUAUUUAUCAAGAAAGAAAAAAAAAUUGAAGAUGAAGAAAAUUGUCGUAGUACAGGUAAAUAAAAUGACUAAUAAAAUGCCUUCCACCUUGUUGAGUAUGGUGAAAUAUUAUAAGUGGGAUUAAUCUCUCUUGUAUUGAAUAUACACAUAGGAUAUUAUAUUUAUAAUAGAAGAAAUAUGGAUUAAGUCCAAAAUACAAAUAAAAAAUAAUAACAAAUUAACUAAAUAUAAAAGAUUAAGAUAAGAUAAAGAUAAUAUAUCUAACACACCCAAACACUUUGAUAGGGUUUUAAAAGUAUAUGAGAGGAGGAAAAGAAAUUAAUCAAAAGGUUGUAGGUUGUUAGGCGGUUAGGAGGCUUGUGAGGUAGUUAGAAGUUGGUUAGCUGAUGGGGUUGCCUUUAUUAGGAGGCAGGGGUGUCUUGUGACAGAUUAGCUAUUGUUAAUUCUUUUGUGCAGACAGGACCUUGUUUCCUGUGGAGGGAAAGUGUUCCCUUGAGAGUUUUGGACGUGUACAUUGUAUUCUUUGAUUACAAGAAUAAUAAUCAGUACUUUUCGAGUAAUCUGGUGUGUGUGAGUGCUUUGUUUGGAGAGUGAUUGAUUUCUACCUAAAGAAAUCUAUCUCACUCCCAUGAUCACCUCUCUUUUUCCUAACACCUCUUACCAAUGUUAGACUUUUGUAGAGAUCCUGCAUCUACUAGAGAUAAGAUAGAUUUAUAAUUUAUAAGUGAAUGUAAACCUUACUUUAUAAGAUAAUUUUGUAGGAUUGAAUCAUACUUAAGUCUACUUCUUACGAAUCCUUAUAUUACCCACACUUCUGAUGACAAGGUACCACGUCCUUCGUCAUCCUUGAUGUGUUACAAGAAGGCAUCAUUACACCUAGCACCAACCCUUUCUAUUCACCAACACAUGGUACUUGUAUUGAUUACAAAGCACUGAGUGUUGUUUCAAUCAAGAAUAGAUUUUCUAUACCCUCUAUUGAUGAUCUAAUAGAUGAGUUAGGCCUUGCCACAAUUUUCUAGAUUGAUCUACCCUUUGGAUACCACCAAAUCCAAGUGCAUCAUCGAGGGCAGGCACAAAACUACCUUUCAUACACCGGAACAACAUUACAAAUUUUUGGUAAUGUUGUAUCUCAAAAAUAUUCCCUCCACUUUUCAGUCGGCUGUGAAUCAUUUACUCAAGCCAUAUUUAUGCCAAUUAGUCUUGGUUUUCUCAUGUUCCCUCCCAUGUCAAACAUUUAGACUUGGUUUUGAUGUUAUUAUCCCCUAACCGAUAUUUUUGCUAGGUUCUUAAGCAGUUGAGCUGUUAAUUUAGUACAUUACCUAGGACAUUUCAUUUCAUCAUUUCAUCAGCAGGUGUAUCUCUAGGUCAAGAAAAGGUUCAAAAUUUCCUUGGCUUGACUGGCCACUAUCUUCAUUUUGUCACUCAUUUUUCCCUCACUGAUCUCCUUUGACCAAAUAAGAUUACAUGGACUAUUUAGGCCACCCAAUCCUUUAAAGAUUUACAAUGCUAACUUUUCUGAACCAACCUUGCUUGAAACAAACACUUGCCAUUGGUGUAGCCUUGAGUCAUGAUGGGUUCCCUUGACUUUUUUCAGCAAAAAAUUUGUGCUCCGAUCUUGAAUUAGCUUCACUCUACACUAGGGAAAUGUUCGUCAUAAUUGAAUCUGUCAAAAAUGGGAGACAAUAUUUGUCAGAGUAUGCUUUCCACAAUUGUAUAAAUCAUGAGACUCAAUUCCCUUUCAAUUCAAACAGACAUAAUGCAAGACAACAAAAGUGCACUUCUAAAUUACAAUGCUUUCUCUUCAUAUUUUCUACCAACCUAGUAAAGCAAAUCUUGUGAUGGAUGCACUUUAGAAAAGGUUUCGUACCCAUUUUUGUCUCCAUCUCCUCCCUGGUUCUCAAGCAUCAUGAAUUUUAUACCACCACCACAUGGGGCAAUAAUUUCAUUAGCAAAUUACAUCUCCAAUAAAGCCAUAAACACAUGUUUUUUCUAUGAUGAUGUGUGUUCAUACCUAAGUACAUGCAUACUGUGCUUUAUAUCAAAGUUCCAUUCCACCUUGACAAGCUAACAUCCUUGUACCAAACCCACUGUUGCAUGUCUUGCGUGAGGUAAAUCUUGUGAUUAUAUUUAUUAGCAAUGUGUAAAUAUUGUGAUUAUAGUUAUUAUUAGCCUUGUUUAACAUCAAUGUCUCAUACUUUGUAUGGUGAUAUUUGCAGAUUUAUGCUGCUUCUUUCUUUGCAAUUCCUCUUUUCCGGUGGUUUUUUAUUCGGAAAAAGAAUGAUGAUAUUGAAAAAAGAAAUAAAGCUAGGGAGCAGUGUGCACGACUUCUUGAAUUACCUGACACUUCACUAAGGCAGAAGGUAUGGUUUUUGAAAGUCAUCUUGACCAUAGAGUAUAUCGACAUCUUUAUCUCCUAUAUUUUAUUUCGUAUAAAAUUCAAGUGAAUCUUUCUUUAAAUUUAUGAAGGCAACCUUGUGUUUGUGUAUGGAAACAAAAUGAAGUAGCAAGAAAAUGUUGGACCUGUUUUAGACCUUCAUUUGUUGCUUUAUAUAUUUCUAAUUACUCUGGGCUGUCUUUUAUAAUAAAGUGUUGCCUCAUUUUAUUGUUUACAACAAAACGAGGAUGUGAUUGAAUUUUGGAAAUGUUUCCUUGAAUGCAUUGUGUAUAUUAGCGCUUCCAAUCUCAUUUCUGUAUUAUUUUUGGAUGUUGUUGCUUAUAUAAAUGAUUUCUGGAUCUGCUCUUGUGUUGUUUGAGGGGGUGGAAGUUUGGAUAGGGGAUUGCUUUUCUCAGGCAUAAUGUCCCUGAGAAAUUCUUUUUCUGGCUUUCAGCUUUUCAGUGCCCGGGACAUGGCCCAAAAGACAGUCAUAGGAAAGGAUCAAAUUGUGUAUAGCACUGACAAGGACUUACUUGAGCAAGAUUACGAAGCUCUUGACUGGGAUAAAAAAUUUCGGGAGCUUGAGAGGUCCGAUUAAGAAGGGUCAACUGUUAACCCGUUAAGCAGGUAAAUUGUUUAACUUCAAUGCAUUUCAUACGUUAUUUUGAUGGGAAAUGCAUCACAGGGUCUACAAGUUAAAAGCUAAUUUUUAGCAAAAUGUUUCCGUGUAUUUAGCAAGGAGCGUGAUAUUGUAGACUUCUUAACACGUGUUCAAUUCUGAUUGAUUAAAAAAAGUCAAUGUAUUUGAUUGUAAGUAUUUUUGUCAAAUAAAUGAAAUUAGGUGAUAAAUAUAAAAUAAUAUGAAAAUGUCUUUAUGUAUGAUUUAUUUUUUCUUUACAUUUGAUUUUGUUUCGUAGACGAUAAUGUAUUUCUAAUAGUUAUAAUUUUAAGCUUUAGUUAAUUUUAAAUUCAUAUAAUUUUUUGUUUAAAUACCAAACGUUUUAUUAAAAUAAAAAUAAAUGUAAAUAGUUUGAUAAAAGUACUUUUUUUGGCUUUAACGAUCCAAUAUUUAUUUUAGUUUGUAGGGGUGGCCUCAAGAAACUAUUGUGGUGGUAGCGAGGGUGUGACUAUUGUGAAGCUGUAUUUUUUAUUUUAUUUUUUUAAAUUGAGAGUUAUUGGAAUAUUUCUUUUAGUGAGAGGUCAAAUGUAAAUGAACAAAACUAGUUUAAACUUUAAACGCGCCUUUAAAAGUGCCAGAAAAUGUGAAACCUCUUUAUUUUUGUGAAAUAAUGUUAUAGGAUGGUGAAAUAAAAAGAAAUAUAUAAUAGAAUCUUUACAUUAUUGAAUGGGUGUUAUUAUAAUUAUAAUUUAAUUUCAGGGAGUUAGCUCUUCUCAUGUAUUGACAUCUUGACCAGCACAGCAUCUGGACUUGCCUUCUGUGAAAGCAUUGGAUGUGGCCCUCGUAUACUGCAAUAUAAAAUUCAUUUCUUAGAUCCAGUAAUGAGUGAUAAAAUUUGUAAUUUGAACUAUAAAAGCAGUAAAAGUUUCUGUAGGACAAGCAAUAUAACUUGAUAGGCAUUGCCUUUGUAUUACGAUUUUAUACGUCAGUGCUGAAAUGUAUUAGCGCGAAGGUGAAGAAAAUCAACGUUUAUCGUACAAGCACCACAGAUUAUUAGGAAGCAAGAUUGUGUAAGAUAUUGGUCCGGAAAUUUCUCCUUUGGCGCAGGUGAAAACGAAAUUCCUUUUGCUUGUUUGACUUUUUAUCUUCGUAAACUUUUGUGUUUCUGAAUUUGUUCUUCUGUUUUAUUUUAGUUUGUCGUUAAUCUUUUAUCAUAACUCUUCAUUGUUUGUCUUUGUAACGUAUAGAUAAAUUGUUUUCAAUUUUUUUCAGAAAGAUUAGUUUGAAACUAAUAAAAUAUAUACAAACUAUCAUUAAAAAAGAUUAAUAUUUUAUAUGAUCUCAAAUUAUCAUAGAUGAAUACUUCAAAAAAAAAUUUACCGGAAUUUAGUGUCAAUUUCUUAAUUUAAGGAUGAAUUGAGUCUGUUGUAAAUCUGUUUUUGAUCGUUGACCAGCUUUUGCACUUUUAAAUGUCUUUCUUUUGUCCGAUGAGUUUAAUUGUAAGGAAUGUAUUACAUGCAUGUAACAUUAAAUGCUUUUCUUCUUUUCUUCUUCAUGUGACAUCCUAAUGGGUGUUGCUUUUAACUUUUGGCGUUAAUAUUUUUAACCUUUUACCCACUCCAUCAAUAACCUAAUAGUGGUCUCCCCAUAUGAAUUCAUACAAUGGCAACCACAUAAGGUCUUCUUCCUCUUUUAUCAUGUUUCAUUGUUUUAUCUUGUUUCAUUGUUUGUUCUACUGUGAGAGUGUUGUAGUUUGUGCUGUGAGUGUGGGAUGGUGUGGUUAUGUUUCGCGGUGGUGGUGGUGUCAGAGAUUGGUGGUGGUGCUUGAAGGUGUAGUGGGGAAAGUCGUGAAAGAACAAUAGCUUCUUCGCCAGGUACGUAAGAAACCCUAAAAAGUUAAAAUCUUCACCAGGUACAAGAGGUUCUUUCGCGGGUUCUGAUUAGGCGAGAAACAAUCAAACAAACGGCGACACGACGAUAGCGACACAACAGUCCAACACAGAUUCAAAGCACAUAACAAAAAAUAAAGCUACUAAAACAGUGAGCGGAGAACUAACUUGGACAAUUUGGAGACCACAACAAAGAAACUAGAUCCACGCUCCUCCACACCAGAGAUCAACGACAAUGGAAGCUUUGAAAUCCAAAAGGAAAAUGAGAAAGAAACAAAUGAAGGAAAAAGAAAUGGAGGAGGGAAAGUGAAACGGAAAACAAAGAUCCGUGAGAUUGGAGGUGUAGGGAAAGUGAAAGGGAAAUGGGAAGAGAGAUCCGUGAGAUUGGGUGCAGCAGCAAAGAGUAAAGUAGGAGAACCGGGAUUUCAAAUAAAUUAAAAUAUGGUAAAAGUAACAAAUUUUAACCUAAGGAUAGAAUUGGAAUUAAAGAAAAUGAGAGAGGUAUAGGAAGCAUGAUGUGGUGGUGGAGGGAGGAAUGUCCUAUCCUAAUUGUUAGAUGGGCUUAUCUCUUCUUGGAGAGUUUAUCUUUUGAAUUUGUCUAUAGAGUAAUAUGGUAAAAAGAACAUAGUCCCUUCAGAUUUGAUAAUGCAUGACUCAUGGAACUGUUGAAGAAAACAUCCUUAACAUUUUAUCCAAGACAUUUUAGUGUGUUUUUGUUAGGGAUUUUUGAGUUCAAGAAUUCAAAUUAUAAGAUUAAUACAGCAAUAACACUCAAAUUAAACAUUCAACCAUUACAUAGAUAGAUUUACGGGAUUACAAGUAUAAAAACAUUCAACAGCGUCCAAGGGAAGAGUUCCCUUCACACAGGUUAGCACUUCUAAAACAACAAUCUAAAAACCCACCCCUGUAGAAGGAACUGUAAUCAUACUAAACGAAAUCACUCCCUCUAACCUCUUCUAACUACCCAUAAACCGUCCAACCCUUAACAACUAUUUUAUAACUUCUAAUUUUUAACUUUUUCCUAACAUACACUUUAAAAGACUUAUCAAUACUCCCAGGAUUCCGAACAACCUUAUCCUGAAGGUGGAAAUCUGGAUAUUGAUCACGAAUGGUUCCUUCAUCUUCCCAUGUAACACCUUCAGGUCCUCAUGUUUGCCACUGAAUAAGGAGUUGAGGAACCGAGAUACCAUGAUACUGCUGCACCCUAUGAUCCAAGACUUUAAAGGGAAAACAACUGAGAUCUAGUAUGUGAAGUUCAGUUGGAAGAUUCUGUUCGACUGGAUGAGUGCCAAUAGCUAACUUAAGUUGGAUUAAAAUAUUGUGGUGUAACUUCUUCAUAGAUUGCGGACUGUUUCUAGCUUUAGUAAUGGUUGUUUUGGUUAGAACAAAUAUCCAUAAUUGGAAUUAUAGAAUUGUAGGCUACUUGGAGCCUUUUUUGUUGUUGUUUGAUAACCCAAGAAGUGGUUACAGGCAGUAUGUUGGGUUACUAGAUAGAGGAAUCCAAGAGCACAACUGCAAAACACCUAAACUCACUGAAAAGAUCCUGUAUUAUUGAUUUCAGGCACCAAGAAUGCCUCCAAGGCACAAUGUUCCUUUCACACAUGAUGCCAAUGAUCCUGUCAACAAUUCACUAAAACAUCCAAAAACCUCCCCUACCUACAAAGACCCCCCACUAUAUAAAGGAAACCUCACUCAACCUAAUAACCCAACUAACAACCAAUUUUUAAUGUUUCCUCCUAUCAUACACAUUAUAUCACAUCAUCACACAAUGCUACAAAACAACCUUCUCCGCAAGGUUGGAACAGUGAAGCUUGAUCUGAUGGCUCAUCUUCAUCAACGUUUAGUCAUAUGAAGGGAACCCACUGGCUACUGGCCGCCAAUUCAGGUUUGAGGCUUGGGUGGUGGUCGAUAUAACCCUUUAUGUUCCAUUAAUGAUAAGAACUACUUCAAACCAAAAGACCUGGAAAACUAAUGACUUCUUGGACGACUAAAUUGUUUUUAGCAUAUGUUCGCGACAACUCUCUUUUUCUCAUUUCUACUUCUAGAUAUUCAAGAAUUACUUGGCUAUCCCCACAAAGCACAAGUGUCAUAGUGCGCUCUAAAACUGUUUCUUUCCUACCAUCUUUACUUUCCUCCACUGUGAGUAAUUCCAGAUGGCUAGUUAAAAACAACUCUGCGAGAAAACCAAAAAUUCCUCUGUGGCCAUCGAUAAAAGUAAGAUCUACAAGUGUUAUAACAUCAGAAAAUUCAGGAUAUGGAUUUGUAACUGAUAUAGUGGAUGCACCCCUGGACACUAGGGCCUCAACUGGGUUGCUCCCUGACCCCACUAUUUUAACCCCAAGCCUUAACAAUUCUACUCCCUCCACAUCUAGUUUACUACUCUGUGCAGAUUUAUCUUCCUUCUUCUCUUCAUCAUUAGCCAAGUACUCUCCUUCUUCAGAGAAUUUCUUGUCUUUCCUACUAUUUUGCAGACUAUCUUUCUCAGCAUCCAAUUCCGUUUUUCCCUCCUUCUUUCCUUUCAUGACAAAUUUCUCACUUCUUUUGAGCCCUUUCCACGAUUUAUGAAUUCCUUCAUCAUGUCUUUCUUUUCUUGGAUGAUUUCUCUUAUUUCUUGCACAUUGUCUUUUUUUUUUUUUUUUUUUUUUUUUUUUUUUUUUUUCUGUCAUGACUCUUCCUUGUUUAUUGGCCCCUUUCUCCAAAGUAUUUACUCUUUUUUCCAUCACCUCCUCAUAGUGCAACAUUUCAAGGGUUGGUUAGGAAGUUGAUUAGGUCCUUGGUUCUUGAGGCUUUUAGCGUUGGUGUAGGUUGUAACUUUUUCCUAGCUGUUCUGGAAUUUUUUUUUUAUGCAGGGGUUGUCUAAGCAUGCUAGCUGGUGGCAUCUUGUUGCACCAUUUUUCUCUCUCUUUGGCUUGUUGUUUUCGAUACUCACAAUUUAGUUUUUGGCCAAUUGGUGCUUGAGUCAUGGUUUAUGCUCAUGGUGUGUGUUUAACUUACUGGAACAUCUUUAUUUUUUUAGGAUAAGGAAGGGUGCAUGUUGCAGUGUUAUGUUGUGGUUGCGGUUUUGGCCGUGACUUUAAAGGCUAAUUUUUGGUUCCUUUUGUGAUGUUAUGUUGUAUAAUGAAUGCUAUGUGUUGGUAUAUUUUUCCUACUUUCUUUUUUGUGGUAAAUUGUGUUGCAUCAUAUGUGAUUAUUCUUGCUACUAUUUAUUUUUCAUUGAUUGGUUCCCACACUGCUCACUAGAAUUUGUAAAGUCGGGGUUGUAUAUUUCGUCUAUGAGAGGUGGUAAAAAGGUAGUUCUUUUUAUGUAUGAAAGGCGUAGAAGAGAUGAGGUUUGAGUGUUGCCCAUUUUUUUUCAAGGCGGUAGAAAGGGAAUGAUGUUUUGCCCAUAUAUUUCUGGCUCGUGUUGAGUAUAGUGCCCAUUGUAAGCAACAACGAAGUUUUUACUCGUAAAUCCUUGAGGGACAAGGGAGAUAGGUCCAAAGCUGCGGUGGGAGAUAACUCGAACCGUCCUAUUUUUGUGAACAUGUUUUGUACGGUAGGGUAUAGGAGAUGACAUAUGGUUUGGAAUUGUAUGGUUAGGGCAUGGUUUAUAAUUGAGAUGGCCUUGUUUGGUGUGACAUGUUGAUAGCAUUGAAUUAAUUAUUUGAGUUUAAUGUUUUGUAUUCUUAUAUUUAAUGGUAAUUCUAUUAGCUCACCAUUAUUAUUGUUGUGUUGUGCAAUGAUCGUAUAACUCGUUUUGUUAUAUUGAAACAAAUGAUCCCACAAAUGUACUUGUUGAUGAGUAAAGCGACGAGAUGUGCAUGAGCUAUGGAGAUUUUACAACUUAUGUUUUAAACCGUUUUAAUUGAUUGUAAUGUAAUUUUUUAGACUUUUAUAUGAUGUUUUUAAAACAUGGUUAUAUUAUUUAUAUCGUUUUGGUCUAAGUUACAUGACAAAUAAAAUCAAAGUUUUUAAUAACUCAAAUUUUCUAAAGAGGUAUUAGAUUUUAAGAUUUCGUAGAUGAAGAAGGUUUUAUGCUUCACCUGUGGCAUCCUGAAAUGGAUGUUAUAUCUCUCAUGCUUCUUGUGAAUAUGCAGCUUUUGUUAUCUUCAUAAAGCAUGAUUCAUCCUCAACUUUGUAUAAUAGGUACAAAGUUGAUUUGUCCUUUACUCGUGUUUUUCUUAAUGCAACAAUCUGGAUAAUUGCCUGUUCUUCAUCUUCUGUUGGUCUUGGUACCCAUUCUCAACCACAUCUGAACCCAUCUUGGGAUACAAUAAGAGUCUUCAUCUGUAGACUCUAAUCAUCAUAAUUGGUUUUCUCCAUCAAUUGGUAGAGACAUAUGCAUAUCGUUUACAAGAUUAGUCAUCUCACCCUCUCUUCCUUGAGCACUCAAGCACGUUUUCUCUCUUUUUCCACUAUGGCACUCUCUCUCUUACUCGGGCACUCAGAGCACAAAAGUUUUAAUACCAAUUUAUAAAAUAUACAACACACACACACACAUACACACCUAUGUGAGUAAAUGAUUUUGAAUAAUUCAUUGUGUAUUUCUUUUAGCUAUACAAGUCCUUAAAUAGUCCUGCCAGAAAUGUGUACAAAGAAUAAUAAUAUUAUUACCUGAGUAUAAUAACUAAACACAAAAUAUAUAAUAACUGAUAUUGACCAAGCUUAACGAAAUAAAAACAAAAACCAGAAACUCUACAACAGAAAACACGAACUUGACAAAGCAAAAUCAAAAAAUAAAACUCAAACGAAAUUAUAAAUAAACCCCAAAUUUAAGUUUAUUCCAACAUUUUAUUUGGACCCUAAGGUGAAUGCAAAAUGUUCUUAUCGGGAUCUAAAAUAUGGACCUUUGAACAUGUGGAAAGAUCUUAGUAGUGGCUUGAAUCCUCUUGAUGGCUAGAAUUAAUCCCUUGUUUAGAAGGAAAUGAUCUACGUGCAAAAGAUUCUUCCACGCUCAAGUUAGUUAGAGAACUUUAGGAUCUAUAUAAGUGUAUAAGUAGGUAAGAGAAAAUUAUAUGUAUUUCCUCAUGUAAUAACAAAUAUAUUUAUAAAAUUUCUGGAUCCUGUGAGAUUUGUUAUAAAAAAUGAUAGUAUCAAAAGAAUAUCAAAUAAUACUAACAAAUAUAACAACUACAUAUAUGACAAUUAAUAAAAAAAUAACAAUAAUGUAAUACCUUAUCAUCUAUACUAAAUAUUUUAUAAAUAUAUGGUAUUAAAAAAUAUCGUUAUAUAAUCAAAUUAAUGAGAUUUUGUGACAUGUACUAUUAAUAUAUAAAUAUCUACACAAAUAAAAAUAUUUUAAAAUAUCUUCUAAUCACUUAAGUCAAUAAAAUUGAAUGUACAUUAGACCAUAUCAUUUAACAUGUUGAACUAUACCAUUCUUAUUAGAAUUGGAUCACCUCCCGUACUAUAACAACAAUACUCCUCUAUAAUAACAAGUUUCAGUGUAGAUUGUACUCCGAGGUGAACAUAGUUUGGAGUACAAAAGGACUCAAACAAUAUAUAAAUUUCGUUUAACUUAUGUUUUAUUGGGUUAUCAAAUAUAUUUUAUUAUGUGUGUACCAAGUUUUCGAUAACUUAUGUCAGAGAUAAUAAAGUUGAGUGGUUAGAUUUUAUUUGGUUUUGUAAUUGUAUGAGAUGGCAUUUGAUCAUAAAAUAAUAACCAUUUUAUAAUAUUAGAUAGAUACAAACUUGAAAUAGCAAUAAUCUAUCAAAAUUCUAAUAGUGAACCAAAAGUGAGAAAUUUCCAAUGUAGAGAGAUCAACAAGGAUGCUACAUGUGAGGAACUACUACUACUACUACUCAUUAUCAUCCAGUUCUAGCAUUAGGGUAUCCAUAGAUGGUCGAAGAUGUGGAGACUCGUGAGUGCAAAGCACAGCAACUCUUCUCAGCUUGGUGGCCUCUGAUUCUGAGAACAUCCCUUCAAGAUUCUCAUCAACUAUAUCUUUCAAAAUGCCACUUUGGCAAUUCAACUGGGUGAUGUCACGUUUUCCGGUGAGAAGCUGGAAAACAAUCACUCCAAAGGCAUACACAUCACUCUUUUCUGUCAAACGACCAGUUUUGGUGUACUCUGGAGGCAGAUAUCCCAUGGCAGCGCUAGCUUUGAGGGCGGAAAAAACAACAUCAUCUUCAAGGAGCUUGUGCAAUCCGGAAUCUGCAAGUAAAGCCUUGUACCCAGCAUCCAGAAGUACGUUUUCAGCUGAUAUAUUUUGGUGAACGAUCCCAUGUUUGCUUCCUUUUUUCCUAUGCAGAUAAUCGAUACCUGGAUAAAGAUAGAAUCAUUUAAUUUUAGUUUACAGAGGAACUUACACGUUAGAAGUGAACUUUUCUAAGAUUUAUUUGAAGAGACAGAAGAAAAACUGACCUUUGGCAAUACCACGAAUGAUGAACACUCUGAUCGACCAAUCAAGUACCCUACCACUGUUUCUCUUAACAUCAAGAUACUGCAACAAACUCCCAUUAGAGAGAGAGUCAUAGAUCAGAAAACAUUCUCCGCGGCCUUUUGAACAGCAAAACCCUCUCAAACGAACUAGAUUUUCAUGCCUUAACGAGGUCAAUAUCUUCAAACCUGUCAAGAACUCUCCUUCAUCUGAUUUGCAGCUUGUUUUGGCGAUACACUUUAUAGUCACAGCAGAACCAUCUCUCAAAACCCCCCGGUACACAGCUGAAGAAUCACUCUUCCUCAAUAAAUUUACCUCUGAGAAGAUUUGAGUUGCGCGUUCUACUUCUUCAAGAUUAAACAUAAAGCUCUCAAGAAAUUCCUGGGAAUACCCACAUCGACCUUUCUCUAAUGGGUCCCAACCGUCAGAAUACUCCAAACUGAUAAGAGGAAACGCACUUUUCUUACACACUUGCUUAAGCCGGUUAUCAGAACUUCCAAUUUUCUGAAUCUGACUACGUCGCCAGAAUAGCAAAAUCAUUCCUGCAACGGUUGAAGCAAAAACGAGUCCAAUGACGGUAAAAACCAGACCAAUUUUUGAAGAUUUCGAUGUCCUUUUACAAUGACCACCGCCGCAGCUUUCACGCUGUGGUUCUAUUGAUGCAGGAAGAUCUUUCGUAGAUAUAUCACCAGGUUCAUAUGGUUCGGGUCUAACUGGUUCUGAAGUGCUUACUCCUUUGCAAGAAUCUAAAUCAGCGAAUCCAGUCCCACAUAAACCCGGAUUGUUCAUGUACUGAAACCCACCUUUGAGUCUUCUCAGAGCUGCACCAAGCAGACACACAAAUUGAAUUAGCACAUAAUUAAUUCCAUUUUUGGAAUUUAAUCUAGGAUUUAUCUCAUUUUCAAGAAAAAUAAACCAAUUUGUCAAAAUCAAUAAGGUUGAUGAAUUACCUGUAGGUACACGGCCAGAGAGAGAAUUGUUACGAAUAUUCAGAGUCUGGAGAUUAGGUGCAUUAGCCAAUGUGACUGGAAUAGGACCGAAAAGGUUAUUGAAGCUCAAAUCCAAUCGUUCCAAUGUCCCCACUUCACCCAAACUAGCUGGAAUAGCGCUAUUUAAUUGAUUAUAUUGCAGUGCAAGAACACCGAGCUUCCUCAACCUUCCCAGGUCAGUAGGUAUACUCCCACUAAAUUUGUUAUAGCAAAGCUGCAAAACUAUAAACUCUUAACAAAUUAGACUGAAAGUAGAAAUAAGAAAGAUGAACACUGAAGUGAAGGGGAGAAAAGAUAAGAAAUUUGUAAGAUUUUUUGAAGAAGAAAGCACCUUGAAGAUUUGACAUAUUGCCAAUCUCGCGAGGGAUGUCACCAGAGAGGUUAUUGACGUUGAGAUACAAAUCACUUAGCUCAGUCAAAGUGGAAAUUUCCUUUGGUAAUAUCCCAGUGAGGGCAUUGAAGUGAAGGAAGAGACCCGUCAAGCUCUUGAGAGCAGCCAAAGCUUCAGGUACUCUUCCAUAUAGACCCUUUCCUUGCAGUGAAAUAUUGGUAACGAGGCCUUGGUCAUUGCAAGCCACACCCUCAAAAGAGGCACUACUACAGGGGUCAGAAUGGGGGGUCCAUGAGAGCAACACGCGGUUCUCUGGGUCUAGAGAGUCUCUGAUGGCUAAGAGAGUGUCAAGCUGGGUCAUGGAGGUGGAAAGAGAUGGAGAAGAAAUCCAUGUGAGGAAGAGUAGCAGUUUCAGAAGGAUCAUGAACAUGAUCAGUUCCAGGGAAUUUAGUCCUUGGUGUAGCAGUUAUGCUGUGAUGUUGGAGGGGGAGAUUUCUUAGCAAGAGAAACAGCACGCAUGUGAAUUGAAGCAGAUGAAAAUGGGUGUGUUUUUAGACUGAGAAAAUGUCAGAACGUGUCUGGUUUGUGGUCUGAGGGAUGUUCAUUCACAAUAAAAUAUGAGCGAGAGCAGACAGAGUUGGAUUUUCCUUCGAGCAAUGAUGCAGAUAUACUUUAAUUUUGUCUAUAUUUAUUUUUUAUCUCUUUUAUUUUAUUACAUCAUAAAUUUAUUAUUUUUAUUCUUUUAUAUAUAUUUCUUUUAGGUUUAAUUUGUAACUUGUUCAUUAUUUUUAAAUUUUUAUUCGUUUUAUUUUUUCAUUUAUUUUACAUAAUAAAUCUUUAUUUUCUAAAUAACUAGUAGCUUUUUACUUUUUUUUUUUAAAUAUUAAAUUGACAUUAAUUUUUGUGUAAAGAAAGCCAUUUAUAAAUUAUUUUUUGUCUUAGAGACUUUUUUAGUAUAACACGUGAUAUCUUGGUACACUUUUCAAACAUGUGACAUUUUAAAAAAUUUGACAUGACACUUUUUAAAUUUUAUUAAUAAUAAGACCAAAUCGAUGUUAUUAAAAAAUUAAAAAAAUAAUAUAGAACCACAAUAAAGAAGGGUUUUAUCGAAGGCUACAAUCUCUCAGAAAGAGCCAAAAUUCAUCGGUAAUUUAUCAUUACUGAUUGUGUACCGACGAUCAUAAAGUUGUCGGUAAUGGCCUUGUCGUUAACAUUUACAGACGACUUAUCGAAGGUUUCUGUCCUUCAGUAAUUAUCGAAGGCCAGAAGCCUUCGGUAAAACCUUCGGUAACAUCCGAAAAAAUACAAAGUUAUAUUUGUAUUUGUUAUCCAACCACAUAUACCUGCAUAAAAGGUUCACACAACUAAGACAGACCUGCAUAACAGUUUCAAACCAUAGACAGACCUGCAUAUUGUGCAUCCCAAAAUCAUUCAAUAUCAUUCAAUAUCUGUAAAGUUCAGAUUUAAGAAGUUAUUUCUAUAAAUGAAAAAUGAAACAUAAAACAAUAAUAUCAUUCAUUUUUGAGCAAAGAUAAUGUUCCAAAAUCAUGAUGUACUAAAAUUCAAAUGUACUAACAUCAGGAUGUUCUAACAACUAUGAUUAAAUAACAAAAUAAAACUAAAAAUCUACAUAGUCAUCAUAAUGUUCUCCAUCAUCAUGCUCCUCUGUAGAUGGCUGGACUGGUGUGGGCUGGACUGAUGUGGACUGGACUGAUGUGGGCUAGACUGAUCUGGGCUGCUGAGAGACGGCGGAUGACGGGGAAGGUCGUGGCUGGGUCGGAAGGACGAUGGAAGGAGUGUCUGAAGUUUGAAGCAGCACUCUCAUGACUAGGGACUUGAAGUUUAUAAACUCGUUUCUCAAUAUUUAUCCAAAUUAAAUGCCAAAAUAUAUAUCUAAAUAAACUUGAUGAUGGUUUACAUUCACUCGGAAUUCACAAGCCAAUGUUUUGUUCUUUAAUUUCAACAUCAAUUCUAACAGUCCAAUUAUAGGACAUAAAAUCUAUUUACUAGGUUAUCAUAAGAUUAAUAUUAAAACACAAUAAAAGUUUAAAAGCACCGUUUUUCAUAAUAAUUCAAGCUAUAUAAAAGUAUUCCAAUUAUUUUUUUCUAAACUCGUUAUAAACUAUUAUUAAAAUACAAAAUAUAUUUUUACAUAUCUAAACUUUAAAUACAUACUUACUUUAUUCAUUUUAUCUAUAAAGUCUUUGUCCAUCUUCUCUCCAAAGCUUGUAUAAUUUUAUAAUUUUAUGUAGAUGUGAUCAUCACAUGUGAAUUAUCACAAUUACAAAAUACUAUCUCAAGCGAAUUACCACAAUUACAAAACACCAAAUAAGCUAUAGUAAAAUUUUAUAUCUAAAAAUUAAUAUAAGGUUUAAUGUUUCCAUAAGUCCUUAUUUUCGUUUAAAAUCUCAAAUAGGUCCUUUUUUUUUGGCUUUUCAAUUGAGUCCUUUUUUUUUUGUAAAAUUGUAACAAUUAGGAGUCUGCUGUCAAAUUGGACAAAAGGCCGUUAAGUCUAGGUUACGUGGCAUGAUUAAUCAGUUCAUUAAUCUUACGUGGCAUUAAAAAUAAGUUUUAUAUUAAAAAUUUGGAUUCCAAUGUAGGAAAUUUUAGGGAAGGACAAAGUAGACAAAAACGAGUUUUAUGUUUCUUUCGUUAAAGUUCUGGUUUUUAUAUUGUUAAUUAAUCUUAGGAGCAUUUAUCUCCCUCAUCCAAGCUUUUCUGAUGUUUCAUCCCCUUCCAAGCUUUUCUGAUGUUUCAUCCCCUUCCAGUACUCAUAUCUCAAGAACUUAAAAGAAUAUGUUUCCAAUCAAGUUUCAAUUCUGUAAUAAUAGACAAAAAAAAGAGAAACAAAUUUAGAGUGCUAAUUCUUUGACGCACACCGUGAAAGCAAGUGAGUUGUGGCAAGGAAGAAAGAUACAACUUCUCUAAACAAGGAAGCAAAAACUUUGCUUCUGUAUCUUCUUUUUCUACAAUUUCAUGAAACUUAGCACAAUAUUUUAUUUUAAGGCUUUUUAGCACAUCUACUGUUGCACUAUCCCGUACUUCCAACUCUUUUAAGCUCUUUAGAAGAGCAAGAAUAACAUAUGGAAUUGCGUUGGCAUGGUUGACUCAUUAUAAGCCAUUUGGUUCAAUCCAAAGUCCUAACCUUUCCUAAUGAAUCAAAUCCCUAAUUCCCAAAUGAAAUCAAUCUGUAGAGAAAACAGAUGAAUCAAAUCCCUAAUUCCAAUUUAAAAAAAAACCCUAAUCUAAAACGCAACCAAGAACGCAAUCCCCACCACCCACGAGAACGACUAUUGAAAUGCCGCAACGAACCCUCCCUCCUUGCACCACGAAUCGGAUCGACCAACGUCCUCGUGUAGUUGCCGCGACCUUGCUGCACCAUCGAUUUGUUAUCGUUGCGCCUCCGCUGUGCCUUCACAAGAUCUCUACCUUUGUUUGAAAAUGUAGAAUAUUCUCGCCUCCAACGUUAAGUCUGUUCGCGUCAAAAGAGAAAAGGAAGAAGCUUCAAGCUUCUAGAGUUCUGCGUUUAACGGAAACGAAGAAGAGAAGAGACGGGGAAAGAGUUUUCCCUUAUAUGGCCCCAAGGGCUACAUUUAAAUUUUUCCAUGUUCCCCACUUUGCCUUUUCCUAAAUCUAAUUCACUCCAAUUUUUUAAAACAAAAUUCGUUUUUAAUGCCACGUGAGAAUAAUAAACAAACCAACAAUGCCACGUAAUCCAAAUUUAAACGGUGGUUUGUCCAAUUUAACGAUUGACCUCUAAUUGCUUCAAUUUUACAAAAAAAAGGACCUAAUUGAGGUGCCCAAAAAAAGAGGGAUCUAUUUGAAAUUCUGAACUAAAAUAGGAACCUACUGAGACAUUAAACCUUAAUAUAAUUAUCACAUCCACACACAAACAUUAACUCAAGCAUUAUAAUUCACUUUUCUUAAACUAUCAAAUACACAUAAUUUUCAUGGCUUAUCUAAACAUAAGAUACCAACAAAAAUAUAUAAGACUCUCAAUUUCCAAAAUUUAAUGUAUUGAAUAGACUAAAAAAUCUUGCACUUGUUAUUAUUUGACCCCUCCAACAACAAUAGAGACUAUAAUUAUAUUUAAAGAUAAUAGAAUCUAGUUUCUCAUCACGAAAAUAUGACAUGUCAAAUCUCUACAUUAAUUAUGUAUGAUUUUCCUCUUCGUACUUAAAUGUAAAGACCUCCUUCAACUUUCAUUACUAAGUAUUUUUAUUUAUGUGAAUCCAAUACUAUAGAAUUAAGAUUAAUUCCCUUCUAAUAUCUCAAUUUAUUACACUUAAUUUCCUCUUUAUACAUUAGGAUUAAAUGAAUCCCUACACAAUUAUCACAUACAUUCCUAUCUCUUUCAAUAUACAACAAACAUCUAUUAACAUAUAUUCAACCAACAUAAACAUAUUCAAUGCUUAUUAAACAAUUAGAGUCUAAGAAUUUUAGCACCAUGCCUUUAUACUUUCGCUUAACGCAACUCACACGUCCAAUGUCUUUCCAAAAAACUUUAAUCAAUAGUCUGAAUAUCCCUUACCCUUAUGAUAUUUAACUAAUAAAAGGUUUUUCUUUGUCCUAUAAAGACUAUAUUAAGACCCUAAUUUUCAUGAAAAAAACCUUCCCCAAACCAAUUAAAAAGAUAGAAAAAUGAAAACUUGCUUUAAUCUUUUCCAAGACUCCUAAAGUGACUUUGAACCAUUAAAGCACAAACAAAUCCUUAAAAAAUCUAGAAUAGAAAUAAAAGAGAAAAAAUUAUUAGAAAAAUACCUUUUAAUAACUUAAAUAAUAAAAUAUUUACACUUCAUCUCCUUUAAAAUACUUUUCUUCUUAAACACAUUUUAGUCCUUACACAGGCCAUUCUUAAAAUGAUUUGAAAAUCUAAUUUUUAUAUUUAUGUAUCCAUCAUGUUCUCUGAUAAUAUAUUUUGAUAUCGGAUAGAAAGGUACAAAUUUGCUCUGCACUAAGAAAAUAAAAAUUGCGAAAAAUAAAAAAUUAAUCAUAAAAUUCGAGACAAAUUUCACACCGUAACUUUCUUAAAUAAGAAUGAAUAUUGAACUCGAAGAUUGAUUAUUAACAUUAUCAGUUAUGUCGUGAAUUUUAUUAAUAUAAAUAUUUUUUAUUUAGUAUAAUAAGAUAAAUAAUUUAAGUAAUAUUACUAAAAUAAUUAUAUUAUAUUUCUUUUUUUUUUACUUAAAUCUAUUAAUUUAUUAUACUUCUUUUUUACUUAAAUCUAUUAAUUCUCUCACAAUUUAAACAAUCUUACAUUUUAUUAUGUUUUUAAUUUUUUUAUGUUCACUACAAUUGAAAAAAUCCUAAUGAAAAGAAAUGAACGAAAGAAAUAAAAAGUGUUUAAUAUGAAAAUGAUAUUUAUUCAUGUAUACUGAUAUGGAAAUUGGAUUGAUGGUGGUUUCCACGACAAACUUUAAUGUGAAUCCAAAGAUGAGAUGAAGAAAAAAAGUCACUAAAGUAAUGACAGCCUGAAAUCAGAAAAGUAUGAUGGGAUUCGUGGGCCCUCAUAUCAGAAAACAAAAGCCUUACAGAGACUGGAAAUUGUUCAGUUAAUCCUGAUUCGCUAAUUAUGGUUUCACGAGUUAAUUUGUAAUUAUGGGUUCACAAGUUAAUUUGUGAACAUUUAUGCUCUUUUUUUUUAAUAGUGAUAUUGUUUUUUAGUUAUUUAUGCAACUAAUAUUUGUUUUAAAGCAAUUAUGCUGAUUAAAUAAAUGGGUUACCGAGUCUUUAGGAAGAGUGAAAGUUAAAAUUUAGUUCUUUGGUAACAACAUCCUAUAGGUAGUGGGCAUUUUUGAUUUUUUUUUUGUCACGGUGAUUUUUUUUACCUAUAAAGAUGUAUUAGCUUUUCAGUUUUGAAUAAUAGAAGAAAGUAUUGAAUUCAGAAAACAAUUGUUACUUGUGUUCACAAUUUGGUAUUAGAGCUCUUUCACAGGAGCAUGAACCAUAAAGUUACGUGUGUGAGAGAGUGAAACACCUAGAGAGAGUGAGAACAUUGGGUUGUGAGUGUUGAAAGAAAUCAAUUUCGAGAUGGCUGAAACAGUGAAGUAUGUUCAACCAGCUAUUCCAAAAUUUGAUGGCCAUUAUGAAUAUUGGGUCAAGUUGAUGGAAAGUUUCUUACGUUCCAAUGAAUAUUGAGACUUAGUGAAAAAAUGGAUUGAUGUGGUACUAGACAAAGAAAAAGCCUAAGAAGAUGAUCUCAAAAGGAUGGCAGAACAACAGCUCAAGGACUUAAAGAUAAAAAAUUAUCUCUAUCAAGCAAUUGAUAGGGAAAUUUUGGACACUAUCUUAAAUGACGAAACAUCCAAGAAUAUAUGGGAUUCCAUGAAGCAAAAAUUUUAGGGGUCAACAAGGGUGAAAAGAGCUCAAGUACAAGCUCUAAGCAAGGAUUUUGAGACUUUGCAGAUGAAGGAAGGAGAAUCAGUAAACUCCUGUUUUGCACACACUUUGAAAAUAGCCAAAAGCAUGAAGGCAGUUGGAGAAAUCAUGAAAGAAAACGUCAUAACUGCAAAAAUCUUGCGAUCUAUGACAAUCAAAUUCAACUAUGUGGUAUAUUCGCUUGAAGAAUCCAAUAAUAUGAAUAUGAUGACUAUAGAUAAAUUGUAAAGUAGCUUAUAAGUACAUGAGCAAAGAAUGAUGCUUUCAGUUGAAGAGGAACAAGUUAUGCAGGCUGUGGUUGAAGAUAAAAGUAGCGAAAGAGGUAGAGGAAGAGGAAGAGUUCGAGGAUCCUUUCGAGGUAAAGGAAGGGACAAGCAAAUGUUUAAUAAAACUGAUGUAGAAUUUUUCAAAUGUCACAAAUUUGGACACUUCCAGUAUGAAUGUCCUAUGUGGGAAAAGAAGGCUAACUAUGCAAAAAUGGAAGAUAAAGAAGAACAAGAGGAUGAGCUCUUGUUAAUGGUUAUUGUGGAGAGCAAAGAAGGAGGGGAUGAGUGGUUUCUUGACUCAGGUUUGAGCAAUCACAUGAGUGGUAAUAAGGAGUGGUUCUCAGAAUUGGAUGAGAGUUUCCGGCAUAAGGUGAAAUUGGGAAUAACACCCGUAUAGCUGUAAUGGGGAAAGAUAGCGUGUGAUUGAUGGUGAAAGGUGUUGUACAUGUUAUUUCUCAUGUAUACUAUGUUCCUAAACUAAAAAAUAAUUUAUUGAGUCUUGGACAGCUGCAAGAAAAUGGUUUGAGCAUAAAUAUUCAAAAUAACAAGUGCAGUGUUGUUCAUCCAGAAAAUUAUGGAGAUUCAAAUGAGUGCAAAUAGAAUGUUUAUUUUGAUAGCAAAGGUAGCAGCAACAUUCUUCCAAACAGAUGUGGAGGAUAAGUCUCAACUAUGGCAUAAUAGGCUCGGACAUUUAAGCUAUGAUGGCUUAAAAUUGCUUGUCUCUAAGAAAAUGGUGACAAGGUUGUCUUCAAUUACCAUUCCUCAAAGUCCCUGUGCACACUGCCUAGCAGGAAAGCAACACAGAAAUGAUAUGCCUAAGAAAAGUCAAUGGAGAGCUUCUAAGAGGCUACAACUGAUUCAUGCAGAUUUAUGUGGACCCAUUCAACCAACAUCAAAGAGCAACAAAAAAUACUUUCUAAGUUUUAUUGAUGAUCUAUCAUGUAAAACUUGGGUGUGUUUUUUGGGUGAGAAAUCUGAAGCUUUUUCUUUCUUUAAAAGCUUUAAGGCAAUGGUUGAAAAAGAAAUUGGAGAAAACAUUGUAUGUUUGAGGACAAAUAGGGGAGGCAGAUUUUCUUCAAAAAUAUUUGAUGAUUUUUGUAGAAAUCAAGGAAUAAGGAGGUAAUUAAUUGCUGCCUACACUCCCCAGCAGAAUGGAGUUGUUGAAAGGAAGAAUAGAACCAUCAUGAAUAUGGUUCGUGCAACCUUGAAUGGAAGGCAGGUACCUAAAGUUUUCUGGCUAGAAGCAACAAAAUGGUGUGUUUAUAUUCUGAACAGGAGCCCUACAACAACAGUAAAAGAUAAAACUCCUGAAGAAGUCUGGAGUGGAGUGAAGCCUUCUGUAGACUACUUUCGAGUCUUUGGUGUCUUACCCAUGUUCACACACCUGAUCAACAACAAAUUAAGCUUGAUGACAUGAGUAAACAAUGUGUUUUAUUUGUGGUCAGUGAUGAAUCCAAAGCAUACAGGUUAUUUGAUCCAGUCAAAUAACAUAAGGGCUGGAAUUGGGAGCAUAACAAAGCAGAGAAUCAACAAAAUAUUGCUGAAUAGGAGAAACAUGACGAGAAUAGCUCUGGUAUACAACUUGACACACCAAAUAGUGAAGAGUCACAACAAGCAGAGCAACAAAAUAUUGCUGAAACAGAUUGCAGAAUUGACACACCAGAUAGUGAGGAGAUGCAACAAGCAGAGCCAUAAAAUACUGCUGAAACAGACUACAAAAUUGAGUCUUAUACUCUAGUAAUUGAGACUUCGCUUGAAGGGAGGGUUAAAAGGCAUCGUAGAGAACCUAUUUGGAUUGCAAAUUAUGAAGGAAGAGAAGGAUUGUUUGAUGAUGAUGAUACAAGGGAGAUGCUUACAACAAUAAUUGAUCCAGAAAAUUUUGAAGAGGCUGUAAAGAGUAAGAAAUGACGUGAUGCAAUAAUAAAAGAGACGAAAGCUAUAGAAAAAAAUGAAACAUGGGAAUUAAUUGAGAUGCCAAAGGAAGUGAAGUCAAUUGGAGUCAAAUGGGUAUACAAGACCAAGCUCAAAGAGAAUGGAGAUAUUGACAAAUACAAAGCAAGGCUAGUAGCAAAAGUAUAUGCACAACAUUAUGGAGUGGACUAUACAGAGGUAUUCACACUUGUUGCCAAACUAGACAUUAUUCAUAUAAUCCUUUCAUUGGUUGCACAAAAUGGAUGGACCAUAUUUCAGUUGGAUGUGAAAAGUGCAUUUCUUCAUGGAGAGCUUAAGGAGGAAAUAUAUGUACAACAACCAAUUGGGUUUACAAAGAAGAGAGAAGAAGAUAAAGUAUACAAGCUAAGAAAGGCACUAUAUGUACUCAAACAGGAACCAAAGGCAUGGUACAACAGAGUAGAUAGAUAAUUUCUACAAAAUGGCUUUGAAAGAUGUUUUUAUGAACAUACAUUAUUCACAAAGUCAGCCGAGGGAGGUAAAAUUUUAAUUGUGAGUCUAUAUGUAGAUGAUCUAAUUUAUACUGGAAAUGAUGUAAAGAUGUGUGAUGACUUUAAAAAUUCCAUGAUGUUGGAAUUUGAUAUGACUAACUUAAGGAAGAUGAGAUAUUUUCUUGGAGUUGAAAUUUUGCAGAAUACACAUGGAAUUUUCAUGUGUCAAAGAAAGUAUGCUCAGGAGAUUUUAUCUCGGUUUGGUAUGUUGAACUGCAAUGCAGUAAAAAAUUUGAUUGUACCGGGAACAAAACUGUCCAGGAAUGAUGCAUGACCAAGGUGGAUGCUACUUUGUUCAAACAAGUAGUUGAAAGUCUCAUGUAUUUGACUGCUACUAGACCAGAUUUAAUGUUUGUUGUGAGUUUAAUUAGUAGGUUCAUGGCCAACCCCACAUAAACUCAUUGGUUUGCAGCCAAACGAAUUCUAAGAUACUUGAAGGGGUCUAUUGAAUUUGGAAUUCUCUACAAGAAGGGAGAAAAAUUGACAUUGGUAUCCUAUACUGACAAUCACUUUACUAGAGAUAUAGAUGACAGAAAAAGCACAUAUGGACUUGCAUUCACGUUAGGAACUGGAGCUGUUUCAUGGUCCUCCAAGAACCAACCGAUUGUAACUCUUUCUACAACAGAAUCAGAAUAUGUAGUUGCUGCAAUAAGUGCAUGCCAAUGUAUUUCGAUUAAGAGAAUAUUGGAGGCUAUUGGUUUCAAAGGUCAUAAACAAGUUAUGGCUCUAUGUAAUAGUAGUUCAACUAUUAAAGUAUCCAAAAAUCCAGUGUUUCAUGGUAGGAGUAAACAUAUUGAUGUUAGAUUUCAUUUCUUAAGAGAUCUUGUCAAAGAAGGGAAAAUCAAGUCACACUAUUGUAGUUCUUAGAAUCAAGUAGCUGAUAUAAUGACAAAGCCACUCAAACUAGAGCAAUUUGUGAAAUUCAGAAGCAUGCUGGGACUUAUUGAAGCAUCAGAUAUAAACUAAAUUGAUUAUUCAAUCAUUUAGUUUAAGGGAGUGAUUGUUAGUUAUUUAUGCAAUUAAUAUUUGUUUUAAAGCAAUUAUGCAGACUAAAUAAAUGGGUGACCGAGUCUUUAGGAAGAGAGAGAGCUAAAAUUUAGCUUUUUGGUAACCUCCCACUUGUAGUUUUUUUUGUGUCACGGUGAUGUUUUUAACUUAUAAAGAUGUAUUGGUUUUCUAGUUUUGAAUAUCAUAAGAGAGUAUUGAAUUCUGAAAACAAUUGUUACUUGUGUUCACAUUAUUUUAUAGUGAUAUUGUCUUUUGUAGUGAUAUUGUGACAACAUUUUUUUCCCCAAUAUUUUAACAUUAUUUACGUGUUAUUUUGUGAUGGAUCCAUAUUGGUGUUUAUGAUUAUUAUUAUUAAUUAUGAAAUAAUUUUAAACCAAUCACAUAAUAAUAUGUAAAUGAUGUUAAAAUAUUGUCAGAAAUAUCUUGUUAAAGUAUCAUUAUCCUUCUUUCUUACAUGCUUUGCAAGCGAGUCUUACUUUUUCCACGUUAAACGAUAAAUUUUUUAACAUAAUGCUUAACUCAACAAUUUGGUUGUUAAAUGUGUCAAAUUAAAUCACGAUUAUAGAAUAAUAAAUUGACUUUUCAACUUUGUAAUUUCAUAAGAAAUUAAUUUUCAAAAAUAUAAUUCACUACUAACAACUCAACAAUAUCUCAACUUUUACAUUUCUAGAAAUUAUAUUAAAUUUUUUAACUUUUAUAUUAUAUUAUACUAAUGUAAUAUUUAGGAACUAAAAUAAUAUUUUGGAAAAGCGAUAGUUCAACGAGAACAAAUGAAUUUUCUCAUUGACUUCACUAGUGGAAAAAUGAUGUUUAACGUCACACGUUAGACGUCAAUUAAGUGUAAGUGCGACGUAUAUUGAUGACCGGUGACAUUUUCGUAAAUAAGUUGGCAAUAUAGUUAGAUGGAUGCCCGAUGUCUAUAGUAGUUUAGACGUCGGGUUUUCCAACCAGACGUCUAUAUUUCUGACAGUUAGGUGAAAAGUCAUUUCUUUUAGCCCGAUAGACGUCGGUUCGACUUUUUCAGCCUUAUAGACGUCGGAUCCCACCACAUUGAUAUAUGGCAGAAAUUAAUGUUGCUCACCAACCUGUCAGACAUAUAGACGUCGGGCUCAUUCUACCUAACACCUAUAUGUCUGUCAGGCAGGUGAAUAGUCACUCUUUUCAGCCCUAUAGACGUCGGAUCCCGCCACAUUGACGGGGCCCCGACGUCUAUAUGGUGGAAGUUAAUGUUGUUCACUAACCUGUCAGACAUAUAGACAUCGGGCUCAUUCUAACUGAUGCCUAUAUGUUUAUUAGGCAGGUGAAUAGUCACUCUUUUUAGCCUUAUAGACGUCGAAUCCCGCCACAUCGACGUCUAUAUACAAUUCUAGACGUUCGUUGCAUCAGGUGCCGACGUCUAUAAUCCUACCAGGUUUGUGAAAAGUCAUUCAUUUUCGCCCACGAGACGUCUCAUGCCACCAAGCCGACGUCUAUAUACAACAAAAAUAUUAAUUUUUAAUUCGAAUGGACGUCAUAUUAGUCAGGCGUCUGACGUAUUUGCUAUUUUAGACGUCGAUUAUGUGUAAAACAGACGUCUAAUUUCUUGAUAAAUAACACUGCGAACCAGCGGUUUGCGAACCAACACUUUGAUCGUCUUUGCCUUUUUCUCUCCGCUGCUUUGCAUUUCCAAGUAAGUUUCCUUUCCUUUUAACUAUUUAAAGUUGUUUUUACUCUGAUUAAAGUAAUCUUUCAUGUAUUAUCUCUCAUUUGAACCGAUUAAAAUGAGUUUAGGUUGUGUUUUGGUGCGGUUUUUUUGUUGUCUUUGUGUAGCGUAGUGCACCUUCUCCCUUUGAUAGUUUCCUUGUAAGGAAAACUUGCAUGUUUUGGAUUUCUCAUGGCAUUUCAACCUAAGGAAGAACUUGGGUUGUUGCCUAUGUCCAUUCCGACCGCCAAUGAAAAAGUAUACGGUGAGAAUACAGUGUAUUCUCACCGAGUUCUCACCGUAUUCUUUUUCAUUGGCGGUCGGAAUGGACCUAGGCAACGACCCAGGUUCGUCUUUGAGUUGAAAUGCCAUGAGAAGUCCAAAAGACGCAACUUUUUCUCACGAAGAAACUAGCAAAGGAAGGAGGUGCUAUUAAGCUACCCCAAGACACGACAAAAACAACACCAAAACACAACGAUCACUUCAUAGACGUCGCUUAAUGUACAAACCGAAGUCUAUGAUGUCCCAAAGACAUCGGUUAAUGCAAUGUUUGACGGCUUUAUAGAUGUCCCAAGUGUUACAGACCGACGUCUAUAUCGACCUUAGACAUCAGUUAGUGUAAUGUCUGAUGUCUUUGCAGACGUCAGUCUUUGAACUGAACCGAUGUCCCAUUAACGUCACCCGUAUAGACAUCGGUUAUGGUGGUGAUGUUAAAAGCCCAAAAUAACUGACGUUUAAAAUCCUUUCUGCACUAGUGCUUCCUCUAAAGUAAAUUUUUACAAUCAAAAUUCCUUACGUUUUUAUUGUCAUUUAAAUUUUCUUUUCUAAUUUUAAAUCAAAUAACUGAAAUUUUACAAGAAAGAAAUGUGGUAGCAUUUAACCCUAACAAAAGUAAUAUCUGUUAUGACGACAUUCAUAGGUUUACUGGUUCUAGGACAUGCAUUCAUCAACAUACUUACUGUCAAAUAUUAAAAAUAUAAAUAAAAGCUAAUUAAUAUAGGAUGCUAUCAUUAGUCCAUAAUAUCACACUUUAAGGCCUCCAUUUUACAAUUUUAAAAGAUAUGUUGAAAAUUAUAACACUAAAAGAAUUGUAUAUUACUACAAGAAAACAGUCAAUUACCGAAGGAUUAUUUCCGACGACCUCUAAGUAUUCGGUAAAUAUGAGUUACCGAAGGAUGUUCCGACGGUCAUGUUAUGUGUAGAUUACCGAGGGCUUUUGGCCAUCUGUAUUGGCACAGUGACGUUAUCGAAGGUAUAUGACCGUCGGUAUAUUGGUCAGACUUAAUGAAAUAACAAUUUGGGAUUUCAGCCUCCCAUUCUGCCAAAACUUAGUUUUCGCGAAAGCUUUCCCCUUCUUCCUCUGUCACCCAACCACUGUCCUUCGUUCCAUUAUUCCCCAUUUUUGUGAAAAUUUUCUUCCAUCGCUAUGUGUUUCUCGUUGGUUCCACCCUAAAUUUUGAUUUCGUCGAGCAAAGAGCUCUAUUUUCCAUUCCUUCUUCCUCUCGUGUCAUGGGGGUUCCCAGCCGCAACUCCAGCAUUCCUUCUUCGAAGGCAACCAAAGUCACCGUUGAGGUUCUUGCGUGGAGGGGUGAGUGGGUGAUAUCGUGGAGUGCGAGGGUGGUGUCACGAUGUGAGUAGGGAUUCGACUUGGCAAAGGAGUGCAUUACCCUAUUGUUGUUGCUGCAUGAGGAGGUCUUCGAGGAGGAGGUGAGUAUCGUGACAAGGGGCUUCCUGGUGCAUUGACAGCAGUGUACGGUUAGUCCAUUGUCCGAUUGUUAGUGCCUAUUAUGUGGUUUGUAUGAUUGGGUUUGCUUCCAUAGAUGAGUAUAUUGAUGUUGAUUGGAUUGUAAAGUUAAUUGAAUGCUAGGAAAAGUUCAUACUUUGGUCUCUGUUUCGUUGUUGAUGUGAUGAUAAUGAAGUAAGUAAAUUAUAUUUGGUGUACAUAACCACUUUAUGGCCAGUUUUCUUGAUGAGACUCUCAUUAUAUAUACAACACUUGCAAAAGACCAUGUCCCCUCAACAUCAAGGAACAUCCUUCUAUGAAAAUGAAAAGGCUAAACCUAGUCAUAAUUAGUUCCUCAUCAUUCUGAGCACCAGUUCUUGCAGCUCACCCAACUCAUUGUUCUUGUAUGCUCUUUCCUCUGUGCUUUAUAUAUCUUGCAUGCUCAUUCCAUCGUUCAUGCUACUGUGAUCAAUUGAUUCAAGAGAGCUUUCAGGAGAUAUAGGAUUCAUGUAAGUGGGACAAAAUGGAUGGUUCAUUGCUUCUCUUGCAACACAUUGAUUCCCUACCCACUGAUGAUUAUUAUUAUCCAUGCUCCUUGACUCCAUCAGGUUUUGAGCCAACACCAUUUGCUGGCACUGGGUACUAAUUUGGCUACCCUAUGACCUGAUACACACACCUUAUCAGUUUUUAAAUCUAGACAAACAUCAAUGGUCAAGCUUUUUGUGCCUUAAAUCUAUAACAACUUAGUUGUAUAUCACCAUGCAAAUUUAAUCCUUUUCAUUUACCUUACUUUAAUUAAUCCUUUCCAGUUACCCUUUUUUUUUCUUUCUUUCUUUUACUUCUUUAGCAACACCAUCUGUGUCAAAGCAAUUCCAGAUAAACAAAUAAAAGCACUUUGAAAGCAUGAUCGUCAAAACAUGUGAAAUGCAUCACUUUCAUUGAGGGAAUCAUUUUUCUAUUUUGCUUGAUCAUUUCAUUGGAAGAAAAACUUAGUUGUUUGUACAAAGCUUUUUAGGAUUUUGAAAUUUGAAUUUCCUACACAAACGAAACUGGUUUGUUGUAGUAGAUUUACUAGGAAAGUAGGAUUUGCAAUGAUAUUAAGCACAUAUCUUGGGGCCAACCUUUAAGUUGGACGACAUGUGAUACUCCCACAUCGGAAGAGUCAUUCCAUUGAUAUUCCAGUAUAGUAAAUGCAUCCACCGACACAUAUUCAGAGAGUCAGGGUCAGGGGAGCCCAUAAGAUUGUGAGCAAAAAGAGGCACCAAGUCAACCUCAGCUUCUGAAUCUACACUCAUCAUUCAAACGAACUGUGUAUCUUUGCCUGAUAUGGGAUGCUGGUAUACAAAACAAGGAGUCUGUCAUGUUGGCUGAGCAUAUUUAGUUUUCUGUCAGCACAUAAUUGUUCAGCCGUUAAGCAUAAUUUCUCCUUCCUUUGUCCAUGUUCUCUCUUUCUCCACACUUCCUUCAGAAUGUUUACUGGGGCAUAUUGGGGCUGGUUACUAUGAUUAAUCUUUAGUGGUAAUAGAUUGUAACAAGGUAUUUUAGGGAACUUGGUGUAUGAAAAUAAUGCAUUGGUGGCUAAAUAUUUUGGGGUUGGUUUAUGAGGCAUGUGAUUAGGUAGAUUACUACGUAAGUGCCUCACACAUGCUACAAUAUUGAAGCAAUUAAAAUAUACCACAAAAAAGUAAUCCAUCUUCCUUCUCUCUUCCUUUUCUCAAAAAUUGGAUCCCAAACACGUAACUCUCUUCCCUUCCCCAUGCAGCCCUGCAUGCUACCGUAAUCAUUCUCUACUUCAACACUAACUUCUCACCUUAUCUCCUUUUCUUCUUCUUCUAUUUUAAUCUCACUAAAACCAACCUUCUCACCUCCCCGUUAAUGUGUAAAGUAGUAGGACACACACAUCCAUGCAAUGCCACUUUCAUGGAACCUGUCAAGUAUCUCAAUCUCUCCUUGCUUUUGCUAACUUUUACCAAACUUUCAUAUUUCUCUUCAACACUUACCUAAAACUCUUACUCCAUAUCCGAACCCGAAAUCCUCCUUUUCCUUUUUGUUCUUCCCAAGCCAUUCAUUUCUUCACCCUUACCCUCCUUUCUCAUUAUCUUAAGUCCACCACACCAACCUCAGACAUUCUUUACGCUACAUCCUUCAAAGGCAACCUACCAAGCUUUUCUCCCACUUUCCUGAGCCUACCCUUUUAUCCUUUUACUCACAAUUAAGUGCAGAUUUUGUUCCAUUCAUUUGUAUUUGUGUGAAUUUGUAGUAAAAUCCAUGGAUGUCUAAUCUGAAUUGAAUUCAGUCUAGCUGAUAAUUUCUAGCUUCAUCUAGUGUAUUAAGACUUCCUUGAGUGAUUGUCAUUGUUGCUAUAGCUUUUGAAUCAAUCAAACUUGAUUUUGGUUACUUGAUGGGGUAUUUUUCUACAUAAAUUGGCCAUAGCAAGGUACGAUUUUGAUAUUUGCUAUUUCUAAGCUAUUUCAUACCUUGAACAAGUUUAAAAUGGUGUUUAAAAGUUGCUAGCAGAUUUGAAUUAGUAAUAUUGUGGCCUAAGUGUAGAGUUGUGUCGUAAACCAUCACAUUUUGAGUUAAAUUAGGAAGUGGCAAGGUGAAUUUGAGUAGCAAUCUGUUUUUAACUCAUUUCAGAGUUUGAACACGUUUCAAAUCACUAGUUAAAGUUGCUGAAGUGCUUCAUUUCGACUUUAAGCCACUCCUAUAGCCCAAUUUUGAAAUACCAUCUCCAUAUCAAAGUGAAUGAGAGAUUGAGUGUUUUAAACCUAAAAGAAACUUGCUAGAGGAGAUCAAGUAGCUAAAUCUCAAAAAAUUACUUACUUGAAACCUAAAAAAGUAUAUGCAGAUGCUAAAAAUAACUAGUCCAAGUUAAAAAAAAAUUGUACUACAAUUACAUACUGCACUCAACUAGGAAAAUAAACUACAAAUAAACUAUCCUAACAAGUUAAUAAUGGUAUAACCUAGCUAAUUAAGAACUCAAACUACAAAAAAUACCUAAAACUCAAAAUAUGACAACUUAGAACCUAAAAGUAGAACCUAAAAUACACUAAAAGUGCAAAGAAUGCAAAGUCUAUUAAAGUACUCACCAAAACAGUAAACUAACUAUCUACACAACUUUUAAAUGACAAAAGAAAGAUAAAAAUGAAGUCUCAAUUGAAAAAUAAUAAGAAAAACAGAAUUUGACUAUUGAACACCUAUAAAUAGACUAAAGUAGGUGAGAAAUUUGAAAUUCACCUAAAAUAGCCUAAGAAUGUCUAAUCUUCAUAUCCUAACAAGUUUAAAUUAGUAAAAUGAAUGUAAGAAAGAUGUCAAAUUGGAUGAAGUACCUAAAAAUUUAAAUCGGACUCCUUAAAACCUAAAAACAUGUACUAAAUAGGUGAGGAAUUGGAAAUUAGACCUAAUGUACAUUAAUUUUAAGUAAUGUUAACAUCCUAACAAGUCUAAACUAGUAGAAUGAAGUUAGAAAACUUGUCAAAAGCAAAGAAUCACCUCAAACUCAAAGUUUGAGUAUUUAGAACCUAAAAAGUUCACUUAAAGGGUCACAAAUUGUCAAUUCAGCUAAAGUAAAGUAAUUUUAAGUAAUGUUAACAUUCUAACAAGUCUAAAGUAGUUAAAUGAUGCUAGGAAAGUGGUGAAAAGCAAACAAUUCCCUAAAUCUCAAAAUCACACUACUUUAAACCUUAAAAAGUGUAGUAAAAUUGAGUCAUUGCAGUUCAUUAUUCGUUUUGCUGUGAUUCUGUGAUGUUUGAAAGUUUAAACAAGUCCAAAUUGAUGUAUUAAAGGUGUUAGAACCAUUGAUGUGAAGUUAGAAAUACCUGUAUGCAAUUUAGUAUGUCAAACCGUGAUAAUUGAGCCAUUUUUUGAAAUAUCUUAAAUAUUGGAUCAAAUUGAACUAUCAUUUCAAUAUAGUUAUGUAAAAUACAAUUUUAAAUUUGUAGUGAUCCUUCCUUAUUCUUUUUUAUGCAUUGCUAAGACAUUCACUUUAAUUUGUAGUGAUCCUUCCUUAUUCUUUUGUAUUGUUUCACUUUAUUUGUAAACAUUUCAAUGUAGUAAUGACAGGAGAAGGUUCAGACCGUCCUGAUAAAGGAAAGGGUAAAAAGAGGCAACGGUAGGCCCCAAAGUAUGUACUUAGGGUGCCUGCUGCACUACCUACCCCUGUAGUACACUGUCCCCCUACUAUUGCAGUACACCCUCCCCCUAUUACUACAGUACACCCUCCCCUUACUACUGCAGUACACCCUCCUCCUCCUACCCCUACAGUACACCCUUUUCGUCCUACCCCUGCAGUUCACCUUCCUCCUCCUACCCCUACAGUACACCCUCCUCCUCCUACCCGUACAGUAGAGCCUCUUCCUCCGCCUGUGAUUAUUACCCCCACUCCUCCUCCCAACCCUACUUUUAUACCUUCCUCAUCUUCUAGACCGCCUUGUGAGACUGCCACACCAUUUGCUGAUUCAGCUAGUGAUGGUGAUGGUGUUGACCCGCCCCUCCAUGAUCGACCAUGGAUUGAGCCAUAUGCCAAAGGGUAAGACUUUAAUCAUUUUUUUAACCAUUUUGAUGUUUAAAGAUCGCCUUAAUUCAAAUGACCUUUAUAUCUUUAUAUGUAGGUUUAUUCCAUCCAGGGUUGCUUCUCAGGCCAUCACACGAUCAAUUAAGCAACAGUAUUUGACUCCAUGGCCUACUUGGGGAGCAAUACCUAUAGACGACAGAAAGCCAUUCUGGGAGCGUAUUAAGGUGAACAACUUUAAACUAAUUGUCAUUCUUAUUUUAUUAUGUUCUUUAAUAAAUGUUUGUUUUGUUCAUCAUUACAGAUGAAGGUGCAAUGGAAAGCUGAACAUGAAACACAAAUACAUAGAAAUUUCCAUAUGAAAGCAUCUCAUCGGCUCUCAGAGAUGCUUAGGGAUGCCCGCAAUGCAGGGGAGCGCCCUUACUAGAUAGGCGAGAACAUUUGGAACGCUUUACUUGCAAAUUGGAAUUCAGCAAAGUUUCGCAACAAGUGUGCUACAACCAAGAGAAACAGAGCGUUUGAAAAGGGUGGCGCCUUGCAUACUGGCGGGUCGAUCACAGUUCACGAGUAUGCCAUUCGUAUGGUAAACUUUUUUUACUAUUUUGUUUCUUUCAUAUAUAACUUAUGUAUUUUCUAUUUCAUAUACACUUGUAAGUCUAAAUUAUUUACAGGCACAAGCUCUGGGACGGGCGGUCCAUGUUGACGAGGUCUUUGCACAGACCCACGUUCGGAAGGGCACUAAUGAAUUCGUUGAUGAAAGAUCUCGCAAGACUCAUGUAAGCAAGCAAAUAACAGUGCUAGUAUUAGUAAUACACAUGAUUAUGUUAUUGUAUAUAUCAUUCCCUAACGUUGCUUUUAAUGUUUCAACAGGAAGAAUUUUCCACGAGACUUUCACAAGUUAGAACCGAACAUGGGUCAGCUCCUACACCGAAUGAUGCGAGUAAUGCAGAUGACGACAUCCAUAGGACACAGUGUUGGGUCGAUGUCGUUGGUGGGAAGAAAAAGGGACGAGUCUACGGUGCAGGACAACUUGCUGCAAACUAUACAACAUCGAGAGGAGGUACACUUAAGCACCAACCUUCUUCUUCUUCCACCCCUUCUGCUGACGAGGCCAUCCAGCGCUUGACACAGCUAUUAGAGCAACGUGACCAGGAAAACCGUGAAUUGAGAGAAGAAUACAAUGACUUGAGAGACGAGUUUACAAACUUCAAGUCCCUGGUCAUGAGAGCGCUGCCUCAAACUUCAGACACUCCUUCGACCGUCCCUCCGACCCAGCCACGACCUUCCCCGUUACCCGCCGUCCCUCAGCAACCCACAUCAGUCCAGCGCACAUCAGUCCAGCCCACACCAGUCCAGCCAUCUACAAAGGAUCAGCAGGACGAUGAAGAUGAUUCUGAUGACUAUGUAGUAUUUUAGUUUUAUUUUGUUAUUGAUCAUAGAUGUUAGAACGUACUGAUGUUAGUACAUUUGAAUUUUAGUACAUCAUGAUUUUGGUACAUUAUCUUUGGUCAUGGAUGAUAUUGUUUUAUAUAUUAAACUUUACAGAUCAUGUUAAUAUGCCUUUUUUUCAUCAAUGAUAUUAUUGGAUGAUUUUGAGAUGCACAAAAUGUAGCUCUGUCUGUGGUUUGAAAUUUGUAUGCAGGUCUGUCUGUGUUGUUGUGAACCUUGUUAUGCAGGUAUUUGUGGUUGGAUAACAAAUACAAAUAUGACUUACUUUUUUUUCGACUGUUACCAAAGGCUUUCGCCCCUUCGGUAAUUACCGAGGGGCACAAGCCGUCGAUAAGUGUUAGCGACAAGCAAAUUACCGAGGGAUUUUUUACCGUCGAUAAGCCGUCAGUAAUACCAUAUUACCGACAAUUUAUGGUUGUUUUCGAGGGAUAUUGACCGUCGGUAAAGCCUUUCUUUACUGUAAUUUUAUUCCAUUAAAUAAUUACUUUUAUUAAUAUAAAAUUAGGGUAAGAGUUUAGAAAGUUUUAAAUAAUGAUAAUCGAUUAUUUUAAUAUAAAAGUUUAAAGUAUAAAUAAAAUUUAUGUAAACGAGUUUCAUUAUUUAAAAUUAUAUCAUUUUUCUAUAUUUCUAUUUUUAGAGCUCUUUACUCUUUUUCUAUAUUUUCUAUAUUUAUUUACUGAAGAUGAGAGAUUACUUGAGUGAUUCUUGAGUCGAGAUCUUCUACUUCAACUAAUUAGUUUCUACAAAAGAGUAAGUUGAUUUAUACUUUUUUUCUUAGUUUGUGCAUUUUUCUAUGUAUGUGACAUUUGAGUCUUUUAUAAGACUUUCUGCUUAUUAAUGGAUCCAACGUGUCGUGAUCAUGUUUCUGUUGUUCGUAGGAGUAGAUAAAAUGUCAUAUGCAUGUGGAGUUGUCUUAGGACCAUCUUGAGUUUUUGUCAUCUAUCAAAUAAGGAAAGCUAAAUGUUUUAUUCUGCGUGAGUUAGAUAUUAUUGGUUGAAUUUGGUUUGUUGAAUUUGAUUUUCUUUUUGUACUGAAUUAUAUGGUAUGUUUGAUUGCUUGAAUUGAGUGUUGGUUGUGCUUGGACUAUAGCGAUUUAGGAAACUGAGGAAUUGACCAUUUGAUCUAGUUGAUGUUCAUUCUGACAUUAAGAACUUGUUUUGAACUGACCAUUGAAUCAAUAAUACCAAUUUGAUUAUUUGAACAAGUCCUUGAUUUUCCAAAUCACAAAAUUAAAGUGGAAAAUUUCUGAUAUGGUGUUGAGCAAGAAUGAUGUGACAUUGAGCGCUAGCUUGACAUUUCAGGUCUGAAAGCAUUUUAGCUUCUGACCGUUGAGCACCACUUUUUCUUGUUGUGCGAUCAUUUUUGCGAAUGGUUUGGUGUUAAGCAGUGACAAAAUACUAUUAAGCAUCACUCUCUACUAUAGGUCUUGAACCUUUCAAGUCGAACUCGCUAAGUGACCAAAUGGUCUCGUUGAGUAAACCAUCUUGUGAGAAGAAUGGCGUUGAACACCAUUCUUACCGCUAAGCCAAUUUAUAUUCCAUGCUUUUUGUUAAUUUCUUUAGUUGUUUGGUAUUGAUCUUUAUCAUUCUUGAUGUUGCUGGUGAGUAUAAUGAUUAUAUAUAUAUAUAUAUAUAUAUAUAUAUAUAUAUAUAUAUAUAUAUAUAUAUAUAUAUAUAUAUGACAAUUAUGAUAUGUUGAUGUGUUGUUUGAUUAUUGAGAAAAUUUCAAGGAGAAAUUCUAAGUCUUGGUGAAUUGUUAUGUUUGACAUAUGAGAGUUCAAAAAGGAGAUAUCCUAUAUACUACAAGUCAUUCAACUCAUAUAACGAUGAAUGAAGUGGGAGAGAAAAUGAUAGAAGGCUUUACUUUAGACUUUUGGUCUUAGGCGUGAAAAAUUUACCUCGUGAAUAAUAGAGUGAUAACCUCUGUGUUUGACUCUGCAAAGCAUAAAUACAACUACGAAUGCAUACAUACAAUGAAAAACCCUACAUCAAAGCAUGUAUGCGAAGAGUUAAGUCUAGAGUUAUUUAUAUGAUUAUUGGUAAAAGUUAUGGUAUUCAUAAAUGUUGAAAUAAUAUGUCAUAUGUUUUAAAUGAUUUAUGAUGCUUUCUUUUAAACACUAGCUUACCAUUUUUAUUUUUUUUAUGUUGUUUAUUUUUUGCAAUGAUUAUAUAUGGAUGAUUACUAUUGAUGUGAACAAAUGUUAAGUUAAAUACAAACAUGAUUUUAGUGGAGGCCAACGACGUUGCUGAGUCAGCAUUUAUUUCUUUUAACUAAUUUUUUUUAUCACAAUUUCUUAUUUUUUGAAAAUUAUAUUUAGUUUUUUUUACCUUACAUAUAAUAUGUUAAAACAAUUAUUACUUUGAAUAAUUAUAUUAAUAUUUUAUAUACUUUCGAUCUAUCUCAUAUGCAUUAUUAGAAUAUAUAAUAUUUUAGUAAUUUAUACUAAAUGAAAUGCUAUCAUUGUCAUAUAAAAUCAAAUACUACUUAUUUAAUGUGUCAUUUUCCAUGAAAAAGAUAAAAACAUUAAAUUCACCUAUGCAUUGCACGAGAUAACUGUAUAUGAACGAAAACAUGUAACAUAAGAAAUGUUUUUCUAGUCUGAUUGUGAAUAUAAUAUUUUCAAAACAAUAUAAUAACCCUCGUAUAAUUAUCUCUUAAAAUAAAAAUGAAGUAAAAUCCAAAGUAAUAGUUUCUUAAUAAUUGAUCGUGCAUGCGAAUAUAUUUAAAGCCUGUAUUGUUGGAAUGCUGUUAAAUACCCACUUAGGAGAGGAGUGCCAACAUAAUGCAAUCUUUAUACGUGAAUCUACUACAGUGUCAGUUUUGGAUAAUUAAAUAAUCAAACAUCCUUUUAUGAGCAAAACAAAAUUAAGAAUUUUUAAUCUGUCGAAAGUGAGACCUGUCAAACACUAGAACAAUGUCCUUAUGAUGACGAUGCCAAUUUGGACCUACUGCUGCAUCGAUAUGUUUACUAGUGUCAUGUGAACUUUGGAUUUGUUAUUGCUUGUCUCUAUCGUGAACAGUAGAGCUACUUGUGCCCGUGACUGAAUUACAACAAAAUAAUUAAGACAUUGAUGUUAGGGCUGCCACCAUUCAUUCACGAAAUAUUGAAGAAGAAAAAAAUGAAAUUAUUGAAGCCUGUCCCAUUAUUUUUCAUCUUUAGAAACUUUUUAAUCAGGAUGACUGUGACACCUAACCUUUGCAAGUUUCCGAUCCUUUUAUUUGGGAAGAGUUGUUUUUCUCCAAGUUACAUUGAUAGGUAAAAUUUUGAAGAAAUAAUUUUGAAUAACUAUGAUAAAAUAUAUUCAAGAUUUCACGCUGAUUAUAAAAUAAUUUUAUAAUAUAUAAUUGUUGUGUGCAUCGACAAAUAAGUUUGAGAGAUUGAGAGUUAAAACAUUAAUAAGAUAAAUUAUAUUUGAGUGUCAAACUUUAUGUUUGUCGACCAACUUUGUGAAGGUCAAGGAAUGAAACGUGAAAGAUAAAAAUACCUUCUAAGGUUAUCUAAAAGUUGUUUCAUGCAUUCCAACAAGCUUCACUGGUUAUAAACGAGAGAUGAUUGUAUUUUACAAAAACAACGUGAGCAAAAAACAAUUUUACAAAAUGCUUUUUUUAUGAGAAGAAUGUUAUAAGAUGAAUAUGUAACUUUUUAGAAACACUUAGUUGUCAUUUGUCAAACAUUAAUAAAAGGGAAACAUGAAUGAAAUAUAUAUAUAUAUAUAGAGAGAGACAAAUAUUAUUUUAAAAAGUCUUUUUCUACCGGUUAAAAAUAUAUUUUUUAUAUUAAAUUUAAAAUGGUAUAGAAUCAAGGAGUAUAAAAAGUAUUGGUUUUGGAAUCAAUAUAAAAAAUCCAAUUUUAAUCCAAAUUUUUUACAUCAGUCCAAUAUAAAAAGUAUUGGUUUUGGAAUCAAUAUAAAAUUUUGACAUUCUAUCAUGGUUUAACUGUUAACCAGUAUAAUAAGCUUCACUUUUAUACUGAUUAAACCCUCAACGGUAUAAAAAAUGUCACUUUCUAUGCCGGUUCAAGCAUUAAUCAUUAUAAAAAAGCUCGUUGUUUUUAUUAGCAAGUUUGUGUAUGUUACCUACCACAUACAAACUUGCAUAAAAUUCAUACUAUAGUCCAGAACAAUAAAGAUGACAUAUAAAAGAAAUAAAAUAAUGACUAUAUUUUCUUCUAUUUACAUAUCAUAUAACACUUUCUAACCUAAAAAAAUGAAUACAUCUAAUAUUUGAAAUCACAGGGAAACACUAGAAAGGGGUGGGGUGGGGGGUUAAAUAGUGUAUUAAGACUUUUUGUAAAUCAACGUUAAAUAUCUAUAGUAGGGGUUAGAUGAUUUGUAAUAGUUGUUGGACGUGUGUUCUAAAUAAAGAGUUUAGGAAAAAUGUUUUAAACAGGAAAAAUAAUAACAUAAGUAUUUUAUACUAGUUCACUCAAUCUUAAGUUACGUUCAGUCUUCCUCAAGAACACUUGAGAGGUUCCACUAAUCUUAUCCAAGAUUACGAACGAGUACAAAUCAUGUAAGACCCGAAGAAAAUAAAAUAGAUUUAAACAUUUAUUAUUUUAGUAAUAAAAUAAAAUAUUAUGGUAAGGUGUUUGUGUGUUAAAAGUGUCAGUUUGAUAGAUAAAUUUAAUUAUAAUUGUAUUAUGUUGUUUUGAUGUGGUGCAUGGAAUAAGUGUUUUAUAUACAUGUAUUUGUAUAUGUAUAUGACAGUGAAAGGGAACUGCGUAGCGGUUGUUACGUAUGUGCAUAUGUUUGUGGUUUGUGGCCAUGGGUUCGAACCCUACGAAAAAGCACUCUCUUUAAUUUUUUUUUAUUUUUUUCAUGCAUGAUCCUUAGAUGUUUUGAUGCACUCUCCUUAUUGUUUUAGUACUCUGACAUUAUUUUUGUAUGGUAUGUAUUCAUCUCUGAAUUCUUGGUUGGUAUGUGUUAGCAUAAGUAAUAUAUGUUUUAACAUGUUGUGAGGCUAGCAUUAGAUUAGAGUUUCCAAGUGUGUUGGUGGAUAUUAGUGGAUGGUUGUUGAAGUAAAAUGUGUUAUAAGUGUCGUGAACAUAUAAGUGCGGUGAACGAAUGAGAACAUGGUGCAAUAUCUAAACAUGGUGGUAUAGUAAUGUUUGACUUGAUGGAGAAAUCCUUCCUGUUGUGCAUGUCCAUGUUGCGUUUUUUUUACGUGAACAAUGUAUGGGUGAGGUUUUGAAAUGGGUAAAUCGUGGCAUUUGGAAACAAAGAUCAAAUACAAGUGUAACCUAAUCAAUAAAAUAUUGUUCCUUCCUAUAAAUACUGUUAAGACAAAAUCGUCUAUGCGUCUAAACGUUCUCAUGUUUUGAAGUUUAACCAAAUAACAUUAAAUGGAAUAAUAAUUUGAAAACGGCAUAGGAAGAAACAUAAGACUUAGAACCAAAAUUCCCAACAUAGAGAACCCUUAGGAAAACACUUAGGACUUUAGGAAACAGAAAAACAACUAAGUCAAAAGACUAUUAAGUCAAAAGCGUCUAAGAGAGUUAAAGGUAAACGCGUAAAACUUAUUAUACCCAAAAAGUAUUCAGUUUAAGUCUUGGGAAAAUGAAACAAUGUCAAGACGAUGUCAUUGACAAAAAACAAUCUAAAAGAAUAAAAUGCAAAACAGCAAAGAAAACACAAACAAUGCUAAACGUUGUCUAUAAAAAAGGCAAACUCAUAAGAAGUGUUUACUCUUAAACGCUACCAUGAGCUAAACUAUUACUUCGUCUAACGAUGAAAUCUUUGCUCAACACUUGGUAUCUUUGGAAUACACGCGUAAUUGUUAAACGCUAUAUUAACGGUAAGAAAUCAAAAAACACUUUGUUGUUAUGAGAUAUCAUUAAAUGACAUUAAAUGCUCAAGUUCAAAAACAACAAAAGUAAUAAGAGAAAAGACAUAUUUGUUGCAUGCACAAUAUACUAUAUAUUCUUUGUAGAUGAGCUACUCUACACCCAUCCACAAACUUUAAAUUCAAAAAUUAGAAGUAGACAUUAGAGACAAAAGGGAUAUUCAUAGAAUGUUCCUCACUUGAAGCGAUGUCUAAAAGAAAGUACAACCUACUUCAAGAAAAGUACUGAAAAAGCAUGCAUGCUCUGACAAGUUGACUUUUAACCAACGACUGUUGUACACGAAGAAAAAUAAGACACAAGAAUCAAGGUCAAAAGCUUAGUCUAACGGACACUUAUCCAAAAAGCCUUUAAAUAAAAGAUCAUUCAAAUGAAGAAUUAAGAGGAUAGUAUACAACUAAGUAUUCAUCCUUUAAGAAGCGUUCAAAAGAAAAACACGGAAAGAGCUCAAGAAAAAGAAAACCUCUGAGCAGAAAAAGAGAACAAGAGAAAAGAAGAAAGACAAUACUCUCGAGCUUCAUUGCAAUAUUACUUAUUGAUUAGAAAGAGAGAAAGAGAAAAGAGAGAAACACCUGCAAGUGUUUAGACUGCAUUGUUAUAUAAUUACAUCCUCUCUGCGAGACUAAUAGUUUGAAUGACUUGUAAGCAAUCGUUGAUUGCAAUUUUGAAGAGAAUUAAAAUACUUGUCGAACUAGGCAAGGUUGUCUAGUACUGGGAGUGGUUUGAAUACUCAUCUAGUCAAGGGUAACAGGAAGUUUUUCGCGGACUGAGAUUUCAAAUAUUGUAACCAUUCGGGGAAGGGCUAGGAAAUAUAAAUAGGUUUAUUUACUAAUUUACAAGGGUGGCAAAUUAUGGAACAAUCCAUACACUCUUAAACAUCACGAAUAGAAAAAAAAUGGCUAAUCCAAUGUUGAUUGUUUCAAUUGGGGUUACUGCUUUCUUUAAUUUUUAUUACAAGUUUCUUUACUUUUUUUUUUUUGGUAAUUUAUUUUUUCUACAAGUUACUUUACUUUGGUGUUCUUACUGUUUCACUAUAUUUCAAUCGAUGACCACAUCCACCUUUUGAGUUCAACAACCAUCCAUUGUUUUUACAUUCCAUCUACAUAUUCACCAAAAUUCCAAAACAAACAAAAAUAUUGACUUGUUAUGCACGAAAUUCUUACGAAAAUCCACAUAAGAAAACAAUUGAGUUCAUUGAGUGUGUGGGUUAAAUUGGUGCAUAGAAUUAAUAAUCUGUAUUAAGUUAGUUCUUUGCAUCGAUAUUGAGGUGUGAAAACACCAUAGUUAAGAUUGAAAAACUAGUGUUUUUUAGUCCUAUAGAGAAGAACUCACAUUGGAGUGCUUUAGUGGUAAAACAGUAAGAAAUUGAUUGAGACUUAGUCCUCAAAAAACAAUAAUAUAUAUAAAUUUAAUUUUAUAUAUUUAUUUUUUAAGAUUAAAAUAACUAAUGUGUGAAAAAUUUAAAGUAACGGAGGAAGGAAAUGUUGAAUUGUGUUUUAUGAUUUUUUAUUAUAUCAUUUGUACAAAUUCUAUAAGACGAUAAAAAGAUAAAUAUAAACACUAUGGAAAAUGUUUUUUCAAAUUAAUUUUAAAUUGUUCAUUUCUUUUUUUAGUUUGUUAACACUCAAUAUAAAAGAUUAAGAAAAACAAAAAGAUACUCAUUAUUUUUAUACUAUGUUGUCUUGUCACACAAACUACAUCUAAUUAUUCAAUCAAGUUUCAUUAUGUAGGCUCAUAAUGUGUUGUACAGGUACUCUUUUUAAGAAAUUAAUUACUUCUAAUUCAACUAAGUAUUCUUUCAACAAGCCACUCCUAACUUAACCCAAAGAACCUAUUGCCUUAACAUGAGUAUUCUUUCGACUCUCAAUCACUCUUAGUUGAACUUGUUCAAGUAUUCUCUAACAUAAACCACUUUUAGCUUAUUUAGAAUAAUUUUUAUACCCUUUUUCAUGAAAACGUUGUUUCCUUGUUCUUCUUCUUCAAGAAAUUUUUAAAUCUUUUUACGAAAAAGAAUUAGAUUUGCUGAUUCAUUAUAAUUUCAUCUGGUUCCUCUUCAUUCUCAUCUUCCUUCAAUACAAGAAUGGAUGCAGUUCUUCUAUUCUUUUCUCCCAUGCUAGGUAUGAUAAUGCACUAGUAUUCUCACCAAAGAAUGGAAGGGUUUGAAUAUGGUAUGUUUGGAUACAUGCUGAUGUGUGUUUGCUUAAGUGCGAUUUCAUGUAUCAGUUUAGAUUAAUUUUUUGUUGUUGUGUGGUUUUUAUAUGAAAUUAGAUGUUUGGGUGCUUUAUGCUACUAGAUGAGUGAAUAUGGGUAUGGAAGCGAGUUUCAGAUUCAUAUGGUGUGCUAAUAUACUUUUGUGGCUAUUUUAUAAUGCAUGGGUUGUUAGGAGCUCAUUACAUGAAUUUAUGUGAUGUUAUUUGACCUAUUUAAAAGUUGUCUAGACUAUUUGAUUGUGUAUUUCACUGAGUAACAUGGAUAUACUAGUUUAGAGUGAGUUUGAGACUAAAUAGAAAUUAGACAACUUUAUGGGAGAGAGCUGUGACUGGAUAUGAUUGCAACAAAUUCAAGUGUAUGAGUGUAGGCUUUGAUUUUACAAUGUUUAAGUCAAAGAUUGUUUAAAUAAAGUUGGAUCAUGAUAAUGUGCCUUGGAUUACAAAUGGUUAUUUGAAAAAUUAUUUGGAUCAAUAAUGUAAGCAUGAUCUAUUUGUAAUUAGGUGCUAAAACUUGUACAUGAUGUCAUGUCGAUGAAUUUUUUUAUUAAUUAUAGGUGGCCAUUAAGUGGGCAUAUUUAUGGUUUGGUGAUCUAUAUGCGAAUUGUUCUAGAAUUGAUUUAGUUUUGUGGCGACCUUUGUAGCUUAUGGUUUGAAUGAUAAAAAUAUACGUAGAGCUUUCUUGCUAUUUAUAGUUGUGCAUAGAUUGUGGUUUUGUUUUUUAUGAUGUAAAAUACAUUAAGCAGUUUGUUGUGAUGUUUUUUUGAUAUGUUUCGGGAAUUAUUGUUGUUAUUGUAUUAUGAAAAUUAUGUGCUUAAAAGUUUAUGUAAUUUUGGAGGAGUUUAUGAAGUUUAGCAUUAUCUAUGUUUUCGGUUUACUGCAAUCCUCGGGACAAAAAUUCUUUUGAGGAAGGGUGAUUGUAAGAUCCGGGAAAAUAAGGGUUUUAAAAAUAAAGUAGUUGAAAGAAAAUAGGAGAUAUAAUUUUGAUGGGUGAUGAAUGCAUAUUUAUGCCCACAUUUAUGUUUUAAAAUUCAAAUUUUUGAUGAGAUUCUUAUGCUUAAAUGAUUGAUUUAAUAUGAAUUUAUGACGAUUGGAUUUAUUGGGUUUGGAAAUUAAAGAUGCUUAAAAUGUUAUUCUUAGUUGCAUAAAUUAUUUUGGGUGUUCAAAUGUUUAUUUGUGCAGCUAAAGUUAGAAUUUUAUUCAUUUAAAGUAUGAAAUUGGAUGGUCAAAGCUGGUCCAGUCGGGUCAACUCACGGCUCCUAUGCAAUUUUGAAAAGAAAAAGAUGACUAAAGUGCAAUUAGAGAAAAAUUUUGGACUUUUGUUCAAUUUAAAUAAAAUAAAAAGGGUUGAAAUGUAAUUUUGGGCAAGUUUAAAUAUGUUAGAUAUUUUAAAACAUAAUUUGGAUAAAAUAUAUCUUAAGAUAUUUUAUUUAAUAUAGUUAAAUAAUUAUCUUAUUUAACUAUAUCAAUAAAUAUAAAAAAAAAUAUUUUCCAAAUGUUUUUGAAUCUAGGAAAGAUAUUAUCAAAUAUUCUCAAAAACUGAUUAAAUCUGUUGAAUAUUUGGAAGAUAUUAGAUAUAAGAUAAAAGAUGUUAUCAACAGAAUAUUCAAAGUCCAAGCCUAAUAAAGCCCUAUAUAAAGAGACCCAAGGGAGGCAGAAAUCAUACUUCAUUCAUUCUCAGACUCCUCCAAUGGAAGCCAUCAUCCACCACUCCUCUAACUUUUAUUUCAUCACGUGCUUCACUCCAUUCAUGAAGUGCUAAGCUUCUAGGGCUAUUCCACUGUAAUUUCAUUAUGGAUUCUAAGGUUAAGUUGAAUUAAUAUAUUUGUUAGGUUUGAUUAAGAAUCUACUUUGAUUGAAUUUAAGAACUUUCAUAUGAUUAAAUAAGUUUUUGCUAUCAAUUGAGAAUGUACUAUGGAAGAAAUAAUGAAAAGACUAAGAAUUUGGCUUGGAGUGUAUUGAUAUGCUUGCUUCUGCCAGGGAUACAAAACCUAGAGCCCCAGGGUCCUUUAAAUAAUGCCAAAAGUGUCCCAAAUUGCAGCCUGGUCCAAAAGAAUCAAAUUAGAGCAGAAACAGGGUCUGAUCCACGUCAAAUCACGCUCAAGCGUCGUAGCAGGGAGCUCGCCCGAGCGUGAAUCAAGGCUUCUGUAAGGCUUGGGUGCCAGUUUACAGCGCCUAGGCUACGAACGUCCGUCGUCUGGGCAACCAGCGGUAAUUUCCAGCUCGCUGUUUCGCGUUUUUGUCGCCUGGUUCUCGCCUGGACUUUGGGUUUUCUCCCUUCUUGGUGUCUUUUUGACCCCUUUUGAGCUCCGUCUUCAUGACUUUUCACUUCUUCUUCCAUUCUUACUUCAAUUUCUGUCAAAAUAAGGGGAAUUUGUUAGAAACCAGUUAAAAUCAACCUCAACUCUCUUAUUCACACAAUUUACUGAAAACAUAUGAAUUCAAGCAAGUUUCUAAGUCAAAAAGGGUGCUUCUAGUAUCAAAAUCAUAUAGCAAAUAACAGUAUUUUAAUCCUUUAUCAGUUGAAUUCAUUGUGAAUAAUCUAGAAAGGUCUUGCAUUUGAUUGAGAAUCUACUUUGAUUAUUUGUAAGAUCACCCUCAAAAUAAUUGAGAAUGUACUUCAGUUAAUUUGAAACCUGAACAAUAAUCAAUUGAAUAAUAAUCUAUGGAUAACCGAUGAUGAAUCUAUCUUGGAAAAGCAAUGAAAUUAGCCUAUUUCAUUGUAAUUGUUUUUAAGUUUACUAUUUUUUCUUCAACAUUAACUUCAUUAGCAUAGUUUCUCACUUUUAUUCUUGAGCAUUGCAUAACAUUCAUAAGAGUCAAAUAUUGAAAAACAAUUUUGUAUUCAUUGGGAGACGACUCGGGAUUACUUUAACCCUAUCUACUUUCUUGAAUACUACUUGACAAUACUGAAGUUGCCUUUAAAAGUAGUAUUAAUUUGAUAACUUCAACGACAACGUAUCAAUGGGUUUAGAUAUUAAAAAAAGAUAUUAUUAUUUAUUAUUAGUUACUGUAGAUAUUUUAAAUGAUAUAUGGAGAUAUUAUUAUAUAUAAUUAGAUAUUAUGGCUAGAUAAUAAUAAUGUAUAUUAUUAUAUAUAAUUAGAUAUUAUGGCUUGAUAAUAAUAAUGUAUAUUAUAAGUGACAAAAUAUUAGAGAUAAAGUUGGGUGGAUUCAUAAAUAUUAAGAUAUAGAGAAAGGGAUGAUUUUGUUUUCAGAAACCCUAGAAACUCUAAAUCAAAGAAAGAGAACAAAGGAAGAAAAAAGAUGGGUGUUUUGGGAGAAAAAAACCUUGCAUCAACAACUUUGUUUUGGAGAAUUUCAUAAAAUCUACACCGGUGUUUUCGUCGUUGUGAAGUUGUUCACCAUUGGAUUGGACUGAUUUUUGGACAGUGGGUUCCAGAUGUAUGGUUCUUCAUUUUGACUGCUCGAAUCAUCAAUCGGAGGUCUAGUUUGGGAGAAAAUAGUCUCGCAUUAGCAACUUUGUUUUGGAGAUCAUCUUCUUGGUUCUCAUUUGUAAGCAUGAUGUUUAGUUAGUUUGGCUGAUCGAAAACCCUAUUUUGGUGUUUUUAUCGGAGACUCUUUUGCACCCUAUUAUUGGGGGUAUAACAUGUUAAUGACUGGAUCUAGAUGAUUCAAGUGAUGUAUUAUAUGUGUUUCAGUAUGUUUAUAUGGGUAUGUGAUGCUUAAAUGCAUGUAUGAUGCGAUAAAUAUGUUUCCACGUGAUUUAGGGUUGAUGUAUGCAAUUUUGAAUGCUUGAAUUAUGUCUAGGAUGUGUUUUGAUUCAGUAGUAAUCGAUUAUCAUUAGUUAUAAUUGAUUAUCUACACGUUGAUUUUAAGUGUGGUUUCGGGAAUAAUCGAUUAUCUGGGAUGAUAAUUAAUUAUAAUUGAUUAUCUACACGUUGAUUUUGAGUGUGGUUUCGGGAAUAAUCGAUUAUCUGUAUUGAUAAUUAAUUAUCCCUUCCUGCGUGAUGUUGUUCAAAAAGUAGGAAGUGAUUAGUGUGGUGGUGGUGAUACCUUUAAAGUUAGGGUCUUUUUUUCACCUGUGUGAGGUAGGGGAAGAGGAUGGGUUACGAGAAGAGCGGUAAUGGUUUUCUGUGAUCAUUGGUUAGCCUAGUGAGAGAGUCAUGGUGUUGAACCAACCAAGUGGUGUGAUGAUAGGUAUGUUUUAAGUAUGGCUUUCUGGCUAUACUUAGUUAAUUUGGGUUGUACCUUUUCUCUUUCGAGGGGGUAGAAAGGUUGUCACUUUUACUCUUGUGAGGAGUUAGAAAGGUAGUGACCUUUCCUUUUUCGAGGAGGUAGAAAGGUGGAUCUCUUUGUCUUUAAAAGGCAGUGGAAGAGAUGGAUCUCUUCGUCCAUGAGAGCGGUGGAAGAGAUGAGUCUCUUUGUCCAUGAUGCGCGGUGGAAGGGACAUGGAUUCGAAUGCUGCUCUUUCCUUUUUUGAUGGGGUAGAAAGGUAGUCACCUUUCCUCUUGUGAGGGGGUAGAAAGGUAGUCACCUUUCCUCUUUCGAGGAGGUAGAAAAAUAGAUCUUUUCAUCUUUAAAAGGCGGUGGAAGACAUGAGUCUCUUUGUCCAUGAGGGUGGUGGAAGAGAUGAAUCUCUUCGUCGAUGACGGGCAAUGGAAGGGACAGAGAUUCGAGUGUUGCUCUCUCCUCUUUCAAGGGGGUAGAAAGGUAGUCACCUUUCCUCUUGCGGGAGGAUAGAAAGGUGGAUCUCUUCGUCUUUAAGUGGCGGUGGAAGAGACAGGUCUCUUCGUCCUGGAGGGGUGGUGGAAGGGACUGGGAUUCGAGUGCUGUUCUUUUCUCUUGCGAGCGGGUAGAAAGGGAUGAAGGUCUCGCCCGAAGGGUUCUGACUCGUGUUGAGUUUAGUGUUGGGGUGAAUAGUUGGGAACAUGGGAGACAUGUCCAAAGCUAUGGUGGAGGACCACUAGAAUCAUCUUUUUUUGAUAAACAGGAAUGAUACAGUGAAGUAUGAAAGUUGACAUACAUUUAUAAUGAUGGUUGGAAAGGCACGAGUUGCCUUAAAUUGGCAGAUGAUGUAGAGGUAAUGGGUUGAACAUGAUUUUGUUUAAGGGAAUGUAGGUGUCUUAUCACAUUGGUUGUUAUAAUCUUAUUAUGAAUUGAUGUUGUUUGGAUUGAUGGAAUUGUUAUAAGGACUUAACUACUGUGAUAUAAAUGUUAUAUUGGUGAUUAGGUGUUUAUUUUGGUAUUAUUCUGAGUGCAUUGAUCAAUUUAUGAUAAUGUUGUAAGGAGAUCUAAAUCUCUAUGGUUGUCAUUGUAGAUGUUGUGUAUUUCCUUGAUCACGUUAUUUGGUUUAAACAUUGGGGUUUUUGGUGGUGUAACUCAUGCAUGAGGGGUAGAGUUCUCUACCGGUGUAGGUGUGGUUCUUGGGGUGUGUUGCUUUGAUUUUACUCAUGGGUGGUUUGGGUAGUAACAAAUAAAUUAUCUUAAGUGAUAAUCGAUUAUUACAAUGCAUUUUGGUGAAAAUGGCCAAUUUAAUGAAGAAUGGACAUGAACCAAGCCUGAGGAGUUGUGGAACAUGAUGAUAAUCAGAGAUUGAGGUUAGUGGUUAUGUUUAGGCUUAGUUUGACUUGUGGUUGAAAGUGGAGCAUGAGUGAGUGUUGGGAUGUACCUAAGUAUGUGAUUGAUGAGCAUGAAAGUGGAGGAUAAGUCUACUUGUUGUACCUCGUAAAUCUUGGUUCUAUCUACGGAUAAGUGCUUCCUUUUGCCUUGUGUGCAUUGGAAGGAGAUGAUAUGUAGGGGAAGCUACAGGUGGAUCGUAGGAGCGGUUAUAGUUGGUGAGGUAGGAUACAAGAGUGAAAUGAACUCUUUGCACUAUGGUAUUGUGGUACGAUAAUGCUCAUGGUGUUGUUCAUGACUAGGAUAGUCAUGAUGGUGGUGUAUCUACGAUGAUGAUCAUGAUACUUGAGAUGCUCCAGGUUAUGUUAUGUUGAUAAUGGUGCUAAUGAGUGGAUAAACUAGGGGUCUAUGUGUGAGAUGUUAUUGAUCACAUCAAGGGUUAGAGAUCAAAGAUCGAUGAUCUAAGUUCAAGGAAUGGGGAUCGAGGAUUGAGUAAUUUAGUAUGAUUGAAUUGUUUAUGUUAGAGGAUUGGUAAUUCUAUUGUUAUUACUACUAUGUAUGAGGUGUUUGAUUAUGGUUGAUAUAAUCAAAAGAUAUGUAUCUUGUUGUGUGUUUGAUUAUGGUUGGUAUAUUCAGAAGGUAUGUAUCUUAUUGUGUAUUUGAUUAUGGUUGAUAUAAUCAGUAUGUAUGUUUCUUAUUGUUAUGAUUGUUUUAUCGGUAGCUUACCACAUACAUGUUUGUGUUUGCGUGUUUGUGAAUGAAAUUAUCGGUGAUGAUCGUAUAAUGCGUUAUACGUGAGCAGAUAAUGUUACAAAUGUUCUAGAGGCGUGAUUGACUCGAAAAAGGAUGAGGAAUAACCUUGGGAUUCAUUCAAAGUUAUUUUGUUUUAGAAGUUAAGACAAUAUAGUUGGAGUAUUUCCUUGGUUAUUUUGUUACUCGAAAUAAUGUAAUUGGAUAAGGUUUUCUUUAAGUACAUUUUUGCGUUAUGAUAAAUUUUGAAUUUUACCGAUUUUUAAUAACCCGUGACAUCCCAGAAAUUGGGGUGUUACAAAGACAACCUUUUUAGAACAUCACGGCUGUUGGAACGACAUCAAUGUGCUUAAACAAAGUUGGUUAAAGAUGGUACAUGCAUAUGCUUUUACUUUUACUUUUUGCUUUUGCUUUUUGUACUUUUUGUCUACUUUUUAUUUUGUACCUUUGGUCUUUUCUUUUUCAUGAAAUUUUUAGCACAAACACACCAAAUGGGACCCCAAAUCUGGAAUGUUAUAAGGAGUUUGAAGAUCAUACAAGCUUAUAGCACCAAAAUGAAGAAAACCUACUACAAUCAAGUAUAGUAUGAAACACAGAAAAUGACAUAAUGGAAACCUAACUCUUUGAACUUGUUCAUGAUUUAACAACAAGUAUGAGCUAAAAUAUAUAAAAUAAAAGCACUCAAAGGUACAAAUAUGGUUAAGUUUUUGGAAAUCACUUUAGCAUAUAUUUUUUAUGAUUUCCAAAGUUUCAACUAGGAAGUAAAGACAUCAAAAGAACUAAACAUGACUCUAGAAAACAUGGAAUGAUUUAAAACUUAAAAUGACUCAAAUAAACAUGUUAUGACCGAACAAAACAACGGAGAAAGACUCAAAAACAUAAAAAAGCACACAAGAACACAAGAACAUGAAAAACUCAGCCAAAAGGCUAAAUGGCUCCAAGAAUAACAAAAUGAGAGACAUGGUGAACAUGAACAUGAAAUAUGAAAUGGACAACGAAGCAAGACAAGCAAGGAUAUAACAUAACACCAUAGGAAACACAAUAAAAGAUAGGGACCAAGAAAACUUAGCUUUUGAAGAACCAAAGCUCUUGAUACCAAAUGAUAACAACCUCCUUGAGCUAGGUUGGUCCAAAGCUUAGAAGGAUGCAAGGAGAUGAUCCUUAUGGUGUAUAUGGUAGCAAAAAUGGGGUGAGAAAGGGUGAUAUGGUGAAGAUGGUGCUUAUUUUGGUGGUUGAAUGAGAGGUUAGGCCAACUCCAUGAGAUAGAUGACUAGAGGGGCCUCUAGAGUUGCUCUAGUCUUGAUCUUGUAAGUGUAUGGCCAUAAUUUGGAGGCAUAACAUUAAAUUAAUCCUAGAUGAAAUACAAGGGCACACCUCUAUUUAUAGGCCAAGGGUGUCUCCUUCUAACCUUAAAAGCAUGAUCUACUACCUUUGCUUUCAUUGGCAAAAAAUGAGGCCAUGUGACCACUCACAAAACACAAUCCUCUCCAUUCCUAGAGUGUGUGUGGCCACUACUAAAAGUAAAUCAUCUCCAACAGUGGAGGGACAUGUGGCCACUACCAAAAAGAAAUCCUCUCCACUCCUACGAUGCCAUUUGACCAUUCUAAAAAGCAAAUCUUCUUCAAUUGAAGCAUGCACUAGUACAAAAUAGGCUUUUUAUGUUUGUUAUUUUUGGCUUUUUAAGUCUGUUUUACGACAAAAUUAGUUCAGCAGACUUAAAUUUUAAGUCUGUUAUUAACCGACAAACUUAAAAUUUAAGUCUCUUGCUAUCCAACAAACUUAAAAUUUCCACCCAAAAUUGAAAAUCCAAUCAUAUAUUCCAUUGACACCUUAAUUAACCCCAAAAAAUUUCAUCUUUCUUAUAUAAGUUCCUAUACACAAUAAAGAUGAAAUUGGAACAUAAUACAAGCCAUCAUUCCCUCAAUUUAGUUCUUCUUCACAACACCAAGAAUCCAUAAAUUCAAUCACAUUCUUUACAUAACAUAAUACAAAGAAAAUAAAUUGGAGUGAUUAAUAAUCACUCUUAAAGAAACCUAAAAAUUCUUAAUCCUAAAAAUCACUAUAACAUUUAAUAUUAAAAUUUGAAACCUUAAAAACAAAACAAAGAUCCUAAUUCUUAAUCCUUACAAACCAAGACCAAUUUUUUUCAUUUGUACAAUGACGACAACACAAAACGAGGCAUCCAUGGCAACGCAAUAGGUAGGUGACAGUGACGACAACGGCAGUGCGAGCUGAGGCAACGCGAGCAACGAAGAUGCGACGUGAGCAGUCGUGACACGAUGCGAGCGACGACACGGCACGAGUACGACCGACACGAUGCGAGCGGCAACGCGAUGCGAGCAACGAUGACACGAGAAGCGAGCAGUGACGACAAAGGCGACGUAAAAGGCAGUAGAGGCAACGAGAGCAAUAGUAGCAGUAAUGGCACGGGAGGGGAGACAAGAUCUGCGAGGCAGCAACUAUGACAUGUGUACCAUAGGACACUGAGGCUGAGAGAUCUUGCAUGAAGAUGAAGUUGUUGGGCGUGAGCAAGUCUGGAGGAGGUGCGAGAGGGAAGAAAGUGGAGAAAGAGAGAGUGGAGAAAAAAGUGUUAUGUGCUCUGUGAAGAAAAAUAAGGUUAAACAUGGAUUUAGAUUUAACUCAAAAUUAAAGUAUUUUUUUAUUUGAAAAGACUUGAAAAAAAUUAAUUUAUGUAUGGUAAAAACCUUAAGAGAUACAAAAAUUAAGUCUGUUUGUAUUUUAACAUAUUUAAAAUCAAAAUUUAAGUUUGUGACCAAAUUAACAGAUUUAAAAUAUGGAUUUUUAUUUACAAAAGUGGCACCGCGUGUUUAUUAAGUUUGUUAUUGUGAAAACAAACUUAAAAUGUUGUUUUUGUACCAGUGACGACACAUGACACACUUUCCAUUUGGUUUGAAUGUCUAACAAAAGGAAAAUCUUAUGCUACUUAGACUUUAACAAGCCUUAAACAAAUCUACCCUAUAUGACCGAAUACAAGUCUAGAUAUCUUACACUACUCUUUAAUCCAUAUUCCAUGAUAACUUCAAAAGUAAUCAACAAGGCACGGUUGAUACUAUCUUCAUGAAUGACUUCUAUUAUCUUGAAAGUACUUAACCAUAACUAGGGGACUUUCCAUCUUGACAUGUCCUAUGAAAUUUAACAUAUUGUUUUGUUUGGGUAAUGGUAGUGAUUUUAAUAUUUUUUAAAAUCAUCUAGGCUUUGCAAUGAGGUUUAUUGAGUUUUUGGGUAUGGUGAGACAAAAGUGUAUAUACUGUGGCUAGGUAUGGUGUGGAAUUGUGUUUGUGCGUAGACUUGGGUAAUAACUUUAAAAGUGCAUGUAUAUAUGGGGCUAAUUUUCUCUUCCAGUGGUGCAGCGGCAAAAAUGAUGAAGGACAUUGGUAUAUACUCUAAAAUUUUGUGAGGUGAUACUAUAUGGUAUGAAAUAUUAUUAUUUUAUGUAGAUAAAAAGAAAAGAUGUGAAUAUAUAAAUGUUGUUUAAAGGUGAGGUUUAUGAAUGAGGGAGGGGUUCAUUUAAAUCAUAUGAUUGAGUUGUAAGUGUUUGGUUGGGUUCAUGAGAGAGUUUACGUAGAAAAAUAAUAUUGUAGAAUGGGUCUUCAGUUUUUUUGGGAUAUUGUUUAUAGUCUAAAUAAAUGGGCCAACCACUAUAAAGUUUUAAUGGAGAUGUGUACUACACAAAAGUAUAGGAUUAAUGGGUGGUAAUAGAACAGUACUUCAACAUGUGAUGUAUGGGUUUUAAUUGCGGAUCUUCGUUUUAUGGACUAUUUUUCUUUCCGCUUCAAACCUCAGAUUUCAGUUUCGUUUCUAUUACAAGUUUGUAAAGUAAAUGUAUCGAUUGCUUUUAAGUAAAGAUUUUUAAGUGAAAUACUAAUUUAUCUAGUUAAAAGUAAAAUUUAUAUAUAUAAUAAUAUGUAAAAUUUAAUAGUAAAUUUUAAAUUAACUAUUAAUCAUAAGAAAACACACACUUUUAGUAUAAUUAAUAUAAAAUUUAUAUAUUAAGUUGGUUAAUUUUCGUUACCGAACGCUAUGUUUCUCUCUCUCACAGACACGUGUCUAUAUAUAUAUAUAUAUAUAUAUAUAUAUUUGUUUUAACUUAUAUUCUCAAUUAUUAUGUUUUAAAUAUAUUAUAGUAUUUUAAAAAUUAAUUUUAUAUUUAAAAUAUUUUAUAUAUGGUUAUUAAUGUAUAUUAUUAAAUACAAAUUAUUAAUAUAUUAUUUACAUAUACAUAUAAAAUUAUAUAUUUUAUUAAAUAAUUUUAUAUUAAUUUUAUUAUAUUUAAAUCAAUAUUUUUAUUUCAUGUUUAUUAUUAUAUUAUUAAAUAAAUAUAUAAUAUAUAAGUUUAAUACCGUUAACAACUAUAAUCUAUUUAUAAAUUUUAUACAUAUUUUAGAGAAAAAAAACUUAUAAUAUUUAAUAAAACAGUAUGUAGGCAAAAUACACAAUUUUACAAUAAAUUUAUAGUAUUGUGGUAAAUUCUCUAACCCAACAAAAGAAGCAUGAAGUCUAGUCAAAAUGUAAUAAUAUUGAACUAAUUCCAAUAAAUAUACACUAAAUAUUUUUAUAAUUACUAAAUAUUAUAUAUAUAUAUAUAUAUAUAUAUAAAUUAUUAAAGAGAAAUAAAUAAUUUAUAGAAUUAAAUAUGUAAUACAUUAAAAAGAUAUAUACCGAACAUAUAAUAAAAAAAAUCAUAAAUUAUUAUUUCUAAAUUCAUUAGUUUAAACUUUUAAAUUAAGAUGUCUUAUUUAGUUUUGAUUCAUAUCUAAAUAAAAUUUUUACACAACAAAAUUAAAUGACUACCUUAUAUAUUUUGAAAAUAUAUAAGAUAGUUAAGCAAAAUUAAAUAUGCUUAAGCAGUCAAGAAUUUUAAGGUCUUAUGUUCUUUCGUAAUUUUUCUAUAUAAGCAAACAAACAACUUUAUUGAAACCUCUUACGAAAUCUAUGUUAAUAUGAUGAAAAUAUUUGUAUGUAAUUAUUUGACAAAUUAAAAGUACUUAGAGUUGUGACAUAUUAGGUGUUAAUUGUAUUUUUUCUUAUAUUCAAAAUAAAUACUUUUUCUAAAAAAAUGUGCAUGGGUUGAUUUUGAUCCACAUGAAUUUUGUGGAUAUUUUGGUCCUAUAGACUCUUUUAAUGGAGAGCUUUUUGGUCAUGUGAGUUUUUAUGACCUCAACCUAUAUGUGUCAAAGCCAAAUCAUAUGAAAGAGACCAAAUUAACAAUUUAGUUUUCAGAUUUUGGAAAUGAUGGAUUAGUGGUUUUUUUUUUUCUCAGAAUGGAACUUUCUUAGACAAUUGUGUAAAAUUUGAGAUAAAGUUAUAUUGUUUCUUUUAAAUAAGGUAGAGUUGAUUUCUUGGAUUUAUUGAAGGUGGUUUAUGAAAAUGCUAGUUUUUGGUUUUGACUUUCUUCCGCUGAUCACUGAAAUAAAUUAACUUGUUACACUUUUAACAUAUUAACAUUAGCUAAAAUAAAGGAGUUGAAAGUUUAGACGGUAUAUGGUGUUUUUUUUUAUUAAUUGUAGGUGUGACUUUUUUAUUUUAAGACAAAUUGAUUUCUUUAAAAUAAAUAAUAAAAAAUUGAAUUUUAUAGGAAUAGGAUUAAAAAGUGGUAUAUGUAUGUAUGUUUAUUUUCAUAAGAGAGAUAAGUAAGAUUUUUUCCAGGUAUAUAUACCGGAGGUGGUUUUUUUGGAGAAGCUCUUUAGGAGAGUAAUUGAAAGGAAAACUUAGUUUGUUUUUGUCUUUUUUCUCUUAAGGCUUUGGGAUGAGUAGAGAAAGUGUAUCAUGUUUGUAAGGUUACAGAGAAGUAGGAAGAGAUUCUUAGGAAUCCAAGUGUGAGUCUAAGCCAUACAUUGAAUAGAAAAGAGAAAGUACAACAAUAUAUAAAAGUGAAAGACCCAUUAAUCUAUUGUAUUAAGGUUUUGGGUAGAGAGUGAUGUCAAUCCUUUAUAUGGUUGGGCUCGUAUCUAAUUGGUGUUUGUAUUUUCCCGGUGAACCUCCUCUUUGAUAAACCCAACAGUGAUAUCAGUGCCGAUGGUUCGUCUUGGUGGCCGACUCGUGGUUGUGGUUGGUUGAGAAUGCUUCCGCUGGAGGGGGAGUGUAUCAUGUGGAAGGGGCUCAUCCUUAAGGGGGAGAUUGUUGGGAAUCCAAGUGUGAGUCUAACUCCUACAUUGGAUAGAAAUGAGAAGGUAGAGCAGUAUAUAAAAGUGAAAGACCCAUUGCCUUAAGGUUUGGGUUGAGAAAACCUCCUCCUUGAUAAACCCAAUAACUUUGCUUGUAAGGUUCUUGGAAAGCAGGGGAAAAAGGGUUUUGUCUGUAAGUGGUGAGCAGAUGUUGGUAAUAUAUGUACAAAUGUCAAAGUGUCUAAUAACAAUAAUAUUAUAGUGUGAACUUAUGGAUAAAAUGAUUGUGGUUUUAUGUGGUUUCUUUGGUAAACUAGCUAAUUAGUUGUUUGAUGUUAGUUAUGUGUGGGUGAGUAAUGAGAUUGCAGUUUUAAUGCUUUUAUGUUGAUGUUAAUUUCAAAUAACACACCCUUCCAUGUCUAUGGUUGUGCUUUUACCUACGAUAUAUGACUUAUUUUAUAUGGGAGAAAAUGUUAGUGCAGAUGCUAUAACAAAACUAUGAGGAGACGUAACAAGGUUUUUCAUUGAGAGUUUUUUUAUAGGAGCUUUGGAGAAUAAUAUGUUAUGUAUUAUAUAAGACAAACAUGGUUAUAUUUGGUGAACACUUUGAGUUUAAGUUUGAGAGGUGAUAGUUUUGUGUAAGUUCCAUUUUACGUUAUGCUAUUUGAGUUAACUUUUGAUUUUGUGUUAUAAUUUUGAGAAAAUUUGUUGAUGUGUAACAUGAAUCAAGACAUGUUUGUUUAUUCUAAAAACCAAGUGUGAAAACAAGAAGAAAAGCAAGAGUGAGAGUUGAAUUGCGUUUCAAAACAUUGUAGCCACUUUUUGCAAUUUUUGUAUGUUCAAUUAUAUUCAGACAAUGAUUCUACCAAAAACCAAGUGUGAAAACAAGAAGAAAAGCAAGAGUAAGGGUUAAAUUAUGUUUCAAAACAUUUUAAUCACUUUUUGGAAUUAUCAACUUUUCAUUUAUAUUGAGACGAUGAUUUUAUACUUUUCAAAAUCUAAAGAGAUUUUGGUUUAAAGAGGUUUAUUAGACAUAACUUUGAGUAAAUAAUUGAUUUACUUGUAAUAAAAUUCUUUUUAAGUUGUUAUGUAACUACUCUCAUUCUAAGUUAGUAAAGAUAAUAAUAAUAAGCAACAAUUAGAAAUUGUGAGAGGAGUAUAUGUAAUAUUUUUAUACAGGUUUGUCUGACAGAUGACGUCUAAUUUUCAAGCAAUUGAUUAAGUUUCAAUUAUUCUUUUUUAAGGCAUUCUUGACUCAACAUGAGUAUUCUUUCAAUUCUCAACUACUCUUAACUAAUCUCAUUCCGUUACAAUUUCUACAAGCUACUUCUUACUUUAGUGAGUAUUCAUUCACAAGCUACUUCUAACUUAAAAAAGUAUUAUUUUUGAACAAUAAUCACUUCUUACUAAUAAUUGGAUAUUUUUUUACAAAACAACUCUCAAAUAAGAUAUUUUUAGAAUAAGGUUUUUAUGAUCUCUAAUCACACUUUAGUAUGCUAAGUGAGGACAAUUGACAUGUAUUAGAUUCAAGCACCUUCAUUCUAGUGCGUUGAAUUGAACAGUGAAAAUAUUCUUUAUUGAGUCUUUUGUUGCAUGAGAAAUUUUUGGGGUGUUAUAUGCACAUUGUCUCUCCAUUUUUUUUUCUUGAAAGGCUUUAUAUAUACAUAUAUAUUGUAGAAGAAAGUAGUUGUUAGAGUUGUUUUUGGCCAUUAAGCAACUUUAGUUCAUUUUAGAGAAAGUAGUUUAGAGAAAUAAAAGUCACAUAUUUAAAAAUAAGACAUAAAUAUAUAGAUACAAAUUUAGUAAACUGAAACUAAGUUUUUAUAUAUUUUAAAGGGCUAAAAUCAUAUUUUAUCAUUCCUAAUUUAGUGAGAAGGGAAGUUCAUCCCAUAUUUGUUAUCUAGGAAUUUUCAAACCUUUAAUUCUCUGUAACUGCUAAUUUUCCCUGGUGAUUGUUGCAUAUAUGAUUAUGGGCUUUUGGCGCAUAUCGUCAUUGAAAAAGAAAAAAAUCCUGCGAAGAUUGUUACACAUAACAUAUAUUUUUCAUAAUAAAAAAAUAUUAUUUAACACAUCUAUAUUUUUUACUUUUUAUUUACUUUUUAGUUUUUUUUUUUGAAAAAUUAUAAAACUUUAUAUUUUUAAGACUAUUUUAUCCUUAUAUAUUAAAUAAAUAUAAAAGUAUGUCAUAUGAUUAGUCCUCGUAAUAAUCUAUGAUUGUCCUUCUUAGAGGUACUCAAAAACAAGUCAACACAAUAAAAAGGCAAAGUAAUUUAGAAAGAAGUGCUGAGCAUAAUCUACAAAACCGAUUUAAAAAAUGAAAAAGAAUGAUCGAUUUUGUUGGACAUCACUUUAUAAGUUUGAUGGAUAACAGAGUUCUACUUUAUAAACUAAAAGAUAACACCCACUUUCUCUGGUGGAAAAACAUAAUGUAUUAAAUUAUGCAAAAUGUGGAACCAUGCUUUUCAAUUAAUUUAAACAAACAUUUCAGGAUCUUUCCUAAUCAUUACACCUUCCAUUACCACCUAGCUCUUACUUACCUGCAUGUAAUGGAAAAUAUAAAAUAUGAGCACCACCAUCCCUUAAUCAAUCACAUUCAUUUCAUAUAAUUAUUAAAUAUAUUUUCCUUCUUCAAAUUAUUUUUAAAAAUUACAUUUCAUUUCUAAAUUAAACUAUGUUUUUUUAUUUUUGGGAAAGUUAUGUAAAAUACUUUUUCAAAUAAUUGAUAGUGGGAUCUUUCUAAACGAAAUUUUAAAUAUAAUUUACUAGAAAGAAUAUUCUACGUGAUUUCCGUAGGAUCAAAAGAAACGUAAAACAUUAUUUUUAAGAAAUUUAAUAUAUCAGAAAAAUGCUUACCAGCUGCUUUUUUGCAAAUUGAGAGCAGUACAACCAGAACUGCAAGACCUCCAAACACUCCCACAAUAAUGGCAACAGAUUUUCCCACUUGAUCAUCGUCGGAGGAAUCUGCAAACAAAACACCAAAUUGAAACUAUUACCAUAAUAUUCUGCACAGAUCUAACAAGCAACACUCCUUAGUUUUGUUCUUUUGUUCUACUAAUUUUCCCAACCCGACUGAACAACGAACUUUUGUAAAUGAUAAAAAUUCAAAUGAUCGAUAAAAAAAUGGAAAAUGAUAUUUUAACAUCAUUUUUUGUCACAUUUUGACACUGCACACGUGUCAAAAUGUGAUUGGACGAUUUCAAAUUAAAAAAGUUGAGGCAGGAGUAUAUUUGGAAGAAAAAAACCAAAAGUUUGUUUUUUUAAUUUGAAAUCGUCCAACCACAUAUUGACACAUGUGCAGUGUCAAAAUGGUGUCAAAAAAUCGUGUUAAAAUAUCAUUUUCCAAAAAAAUUUACGGUUUUCAAUUUUAAAAUGAAAUUCAUGCAAAGCAAUGCUUUUAUUUAAGCACAUAAUGGAAGUUAAUCUUGAGUGAGGGAAUAUAUGCCAAAUCAUGAUAGCACUUGAAUAAAAUGAGUAUGGUGGUAAAUUGAUUAGUGAAGAAUAUGGAAUGCGAUACUAAGUAAAAGGUAUUCGAACAAAUGGAUAAAGAGGAAUUGGAAAAAGUGCGCAUUUUCCAAAAUAAAGUAUUAAAGCAUAUGUUCCGAAUGCAUUCACCCAUAAAAUAGCAUUUCACAACGACGGCUUCCUCUUCAUUUUCUGAUCACUUUUCUACAAAGGCUGUAAGUAAGUAAUUCAAAUCAAUUUGAAAACAAUCUGAAUUUUUUACAUAUGGUGUUUGUAAGAUUAGCAAUAAAUAAUUAGCAGUAAUACGUUACUUUAGGAUAGGAAAAUGGGUCUAAUUUGAGUGGUGAAAGUGAAAAAGAAGAAAUAGACCUGAUUCAUGAUAAUAGCCAGAUGCCCAGUAUCGAGCAUAACAUUGUCCCAAGAACACAUGAGCUGCUGCAGCAGAUCCACAUAAGGUUUUGAGUUUUCCAACAGCAUCUGCUAGACAAGAGGAGCAAUCUGAUAGAGUUAAAUCCCCCAAGCAUUGUGCAAACCCUUCAACUAGGCCCGAGCUACUCACUCUAAAUCCAUUAGCAGUUUGCAAAUCAGCAAGAACAUCAUCUCUACGCCUGAAGAACUCAACAUCACUCGUCACACCUUUGCUGCAUUUCUUAUACCUCAGACUCGUGUCCAAUUUCCCUAGAAAAUCACCAGAAUGUUCAUAUCUUAUAAGGCACCCUUCAAGUUGUAAAGAACCUCCAAGGGCAUACGGACAAACCAAACCUAUUUCGUUAACAGAUCUUUCUACACACUUUGAGCACUCAAUUGGGUGCAGAUCACCUCUGCACUGGUAUAACCCGUAUACGUUUCCCUCUUGUGGCGUUGAGCUUCCAUUUCCAAUAGCAAAGCUAUUGUAAAUUACUUCAGAGGACGAACUCACCACUGAAGACAUAAAACUGUUAAGGUUCCCUUCAAAGGGUGCGUUCGGUUGGUAUUUUUCCUCAGAACAGACUGCAUAUAUGAACAUAUGAUCUCGUGAAGGGUAGCCAUGAACUGAAGAAAACAAAAUUAGCAGAUAAGAGAGUCUCCAAAUGAAGAUGAUUCUGUAACCAGACUCUGCUUCAAGAGUUCUCGACAUGUUUUUCUAAAACUAUGAACCUUUGUUUGUUUUCGUGCCUUGGUUAUGGCAAUUAAAGAGUGAGCCAGUGGUUCAUUUUUUUGGGCCUUUUUCUUUAGUAAAAGACUCUUGUUUGGUCAGGCGUUGAGCAUCAACUUUGUCCCGAGUCAAUGGUCAUAAAGAUUAAAAAUCCUUAUUUCCAAGUACACACAAAACUACGAGAUACAACUCUAAAAGCUUGAAAAAACAAUCUGCUCUCAAUGCAGAGGUUAAUUCAAAAGCUUCCAACAAACGAGUUUGUUGUCGAACUGUAAAAUGUUAUGUUAAAAUUCAUAUCUAUAUUGCUUUAAAAUAUAUAUGUAUGUUUUUAGAAACCUAAGGUUGAAUGGUAGAUACAACUCUAAAAGCAAUAUUGAACAGUAAUUUCGUUUCCCCAUGGAGACCAAACUGCAGAGUAAAACUUUGCUAAAUUCACUUUUACUAUUCACAAAAGUAUCUAAUCACAUGCAUCUUUGAUCCUCUUUAUAUAUCUCGCCAUACUUAAAGGGAAAAAUAAUGAAUUCUAACGAGAACUUUUAGAUAUUAUGUUUCAAACCAGAGAAUAGUAGGUCUAUUCAACUAGGAUUUGUAAUAAAAUUUCGAUAUAAAAAUGUUCUAUAUAACAAAAGAUUUUCUAAGAAUGGAAUGGUUUUUUCUAAAAGACUUUUAUUACAAGAUUUUUUUUUAAAGGAUUUUGCCUCUUCCAUUUUGCAUGGGAGUCGCUGCACUGCUAAAGAAACCAUUCAUGGCAAUGAGAGUAAAGAAGAAUGGGAAUUGGUAUGCAUGUCUUAAAAUGAAGCGUAUUACGGUUCUUUCAAACUGGGUAGGGAUGAAAAGUUUGGAUUGAAUGAUAGACCGAGAAAACAAUUAUGUGCAGAAUUGAAAAAAGGUUAAUUUCAUAAUAGAAAUGAUAGAAAAACAUAAAUUCAGGUCGAAAUGGUUGAAGGCGGACGACCUAAACACAAUUUUUUCAUAAGUUAAUCCAUUCUAGGAUAAUGAAUAAUAGGAUCAACGGGUGAAAGUUGGCAAUGAUUGGUGUGAGCGAAAGUAAAGGAAGUGGUCAGAACUUAUAUAAGAACAAAUUUACGAAAUGUGGCGGACUUAAAGUUAGAUUGGAUACUGUCGCGACCCAUACAAAUUUGAUUGCAUAUUAGAAAGGAAGUGACUCCUAAGUGAAAUCAAUAAAAUAUCGACUCAUCAUCUAUUCAUAAAUUAAUAGGGAAAACAAUGACCUAUUAACAAGUAGAUUUUUCUGAGGAAACCAGGGCAGUUGUAUGGGACUAUGGAAGCGGCAAGAGUCCGGUUAAUUUUAAAUUUUUUAAACAAUUUUGGGAUAAAAAUGAUAUACUAAGACCUGCAAAUUGUUUUCAUAGCAGUGGGAGUUGGUCAAAAGGAUGUAAUUCUUUUUUAUUAUUAUUUUAAUUCAUGAGGUUUAUAAUUCGUAAGACCUAGACCAAUAUAGGUCGAUAGUGAAUGUACAAAAUAAUACUCAAAAUUUUGUCAAAAAGAAUGCAAAAAGUGCUUCAUAAAAUCAUAGACUAAAUUCAGAAUGCACUCAUUGAGAUAGAAGAAUACUCAAUAAUUGUUGAGUCUAUCAAAUAGAAGUUCACCGGGGAGAUACAAUACUGAUUAGAUUUGAGCCAACAAAAUGAAAAUUGAUACUACUCUCUACCAAAAACCUUAAGUUAAUGAGUUAAUGGAUCUUUCAUCUUUAUAUAGUGCUAUACUUUCUCAUUUCUAUCUAAUGUGGGACUUAGACUCACACUUGGAUUCCCAACAGUGUAGUGGUGGUAAACAAAGUGAUUGACGAGGUGAGAGGAAAAAAGAAAGUUGUAUUAUUGUAAAGACAAAUUUCGAGAAAACGUAUGAUUCAGUUAAUUCAUAAUUUCUCUUUUAUAUGUUAGAAAGAUUGGAUUUUUAUCCCAAAUGGGUUAGAUGAACUAGGACAUGUUUAUCGUCGUUAACUAUCUUUGUUUUAGUUAAUGGGUUCCACAAGACAAUUUACAAGGCAAGACGACCCAUUAAUUUUUUUUUUCUUGUAGUUGCACAAAGGUUGGUUGAUGUAGUUAGAGAGGUUAAGAGUAAACGAUUGUUAGAUGGGACUAGAAUGUACAAAAAGAUUUCAAUGAGCAUGUUUUAGUUUGCAUAUGAUACUUGAUAAAGGCUUGAGAUUAGUAAUUUUUCAUUGUUUAAUUAACACUUAUCUUGUUUUGAUUGUGUAUAAGUUUUAUGAUAUCUACCGUAAUUUCACUUAUUUUGUAGUAACAUAUGAAUCCAAGGAGUUAAUAUGUGAUUGAGAUAAAAGAAAUUCAACACUUUUUAUUUAAUUUGUCUUGUCACGACUAUAAUACCAUCUAAGGGCUUAAGCUACAAAGAAAACUCACUCAAGAAGGUUUCCUCAAGCCAUGAAAUAAAGCUUGAGCCAUGAGAGAGUACUUCAUUAUUAACCAACUUCAAGCAGCUUUAGGUUAGAACUUCAUAGCUUGAGCCAUAGAGGAAACCCAAGAAGGGAGGAAACCUCAACGUUGGAGCCGUGAACCACUGCUUGAGUCGUGUUGUGAAUGUCUAAAUAUACAAGCACCUUGGAAAGAUUCUAGAGAGAUGGAAAGGGAGAGAAAAAAAGACUUUGGUCUAGGCUUUCUUAGGGUGAUUUUAGAAAGAGACUCUAAUGAGUCUUCUCACAUAUAUCCUCUGUAAUUCAAAGACACAUCUUUAGAGGAUUAGGAGAUUUAUCUUCCUCUGUGAUUGUAUUUAAUUUUUUGUCCAUGAGGAGCUAAAUCUCACUCUUGUUAGAGCAUGAUGUAACAGAUUCAAAUUCUCUUGUAUUCGAUGAAAAUUUUCAUUUAUGCAUGUUUCCUUUUAUUUAAAGUGGUUAAUUGAUUUAUGCUUAUUAUUGGAUGAACUCAUCACUUGUCUUGAUUAACUAGCUUAAGAUUGAGUCGAAGCUAGUCUUAAGUUGUAGUCCAAUUAAUUUUCUUGUAUACUUCUAGAUGCUAGGAAUAAAUUCAGGGUGUGCAGUUGGAAUAAAGUCUUAAUCGUAAUAUGGGUGAAUCAUAUGUGGUUCAUACUGGAAAAUAGACAACAUAUUAAUCUCUAGGUUCCAGGAAUGGUCCUAGAAUACCAUAAAGGGCAAUCCCAAGAAUUAUCAUCUAAGGCCUCAUAUCUAGAGGUGGAUCUGAUACAAAAGAGGAGAAAUAUGUGAAGUUAAGCUUCAACACAGUUCAAUUAUAAAAGUUACUCUUUUGAUAGCUUAAAUCAAAUUCUAAGUUGGUUUUACAACAGAUUAAACUAGUUAAAACAUUGUUAUUUAUGCCAAAUCUUUAUGCAAACAACACAUGUUUACUACAACAACCCAAUAUACUUGUUGGUAUAUUUCGGGUGUUGCAAUCACAUCACGAGCAACUAUAUUUGUGUGUAAAGCAGAAAUACAAAAUAUAAUGGUCGUAAAGAAUAUGCUUAUAUGUUUUAAAAUUGUGUCUGGUCUUAAGGUUAAUUUCAAGAAGAGUAAGAUAGGAAGCACAAAAGUUUAGGUUACUAUGGUUAUAAAAAAUCGAUAAAAUUUCAAACUUUUAUCUAGGUGCGAAAAUGUACUUUUCAAAAACCUAAAUAACUAAACUUGUAUACUUAUUUCAAAAUAUAAUAGUUCCAAAAUCCUUCUUCAAUUACAUGAUUCAUAAAUAAUGAAAAUAACCAAGGAAAUAUAGAACUCCAAUUACAUUGUUUCAAACUUUAAACACAAUAACUUUAAAAGAAAAUUCAAAGUUUGUUCUCCGUAAUCUCUCAAAUCUAUCAUGCCUCAACAACAUUUGUAACAUCAUAUGUUCACGUAUAAGACUUUAUACAAUCAUUGUCAAUAACAUCAUUAACAAAUCACAAAAACAAACACUUAUGGGGUAAGCUACCACCAAAGCAAUCAUAAUAACAUGAUAUAAUUACAUUGAUUAUAUCAACCAUAAAAAACCACCUCAUACAUAGUAGUAAUAACAAUAGGAAUUCUAAUCCUCUAACAUAAAAAUUUUUUGAUAAGGGGGGCUAUGUGAAAGCUAAACCCAUAUAUUCCAUAUGUGUUUUUGAUGAUGACAACAUAAAUGUUUUUAUAGUUUCUUGCACACAUUAAGCAAAACUGUUGUUUAUAUAUUUGCAUGUGUUUGAAAUAUAUGUUAUGCAUAUUCAUUGUUUAAGAAUGAUUCUUUGAAUAUCUUGUUUUUGAUGAUGUACACGAUGAUGAACAUUGUAUAAUGGACAUUUUUGUUGAAGGACAUUAAGGAUUUAUUCUAUUGUUAUCUUGCACAAAAUGACAUAACAAAUGUUUGAUACUAUUGAUGCGUGUGCUUGGUACAUGUAUUAAUGGUUGGAAAAAGGUUUACAUGUUUAAACAGAUUGAAAAUGUAUUUCUGGUAUGAUUUAAUCUGUUAAGCAAUUGACGUAAUUUGUUAAUUGUUUCAGAUUUAUUGUAUGCUUUAUUAGAGUCAAAUUGUUAUAACAUAAUCUAGUAUACAAUGUGUAUAAUUGAUUAAGUAAGAAGGUUAGCCAAUACAUGUUUUCAAAAGAGUGAAAAUCUGAUUUAAAAGAAGGUUGAAAUUGAAAUUUUUCUUAAGUGUUGGACAUAAUCGAUUACAUAAGUUGUAUAAUCAGUUAAGUCAUUUUCAUAUGAUGAAUUCAAUUUUUUUCAAGCCAAUAUUGUUAUAACGAUCAUAUUUCAUUAUUUUUUGCUGUUAAGAAGUGUUUAAUCGAUUGCAUGCACCAUAUAAUUAGUUAAAAUUCGUCAAGAUUUUGAAAAUGCUAUAAACAGUUGUCUUGCGCUGUUUCAAACUAAUAUUUGAACAUUAAAUUUCAUAACUAACAUUUUGAUUGAGUUUUGAUUACAGGAGCGUCCAAGAACCAUCUUGAAGAAUGAAGGAUCAACUUUGGAUUUAUACAUCAAGAUUCUAUCAAGAAGUGUGCUUAAAGGUUGUUGAUCAUAUCUGCACUAUUGGAGUGCUUGCUGUGAAGAUCGAGUUUAUCUUUUUCAAUUUGUAGAUUGAGUUCCUUUGCUAUUGUGCCAAGGGGAGAGAGUUGUGAUUGUUCUCAUUAAGAUUUAGGAUUACUCUUAAGGUAUUUUUAGAGUUGGGAUUGCUCUAAGGUGACAGAAAAUGGGUGAUCUUUCUGGGUUGUUAUAGUUGGUAUUGAGUUAGGAAGGAGAGUACAUUGAGAGGAUUGUUCUCUAUAUGUCUUACUCGACAUGUCAGAGCAUUUUGAAAUUCUUUCCUUCACAAAAUCUCACAUAGCACUGUUUCUCAAAAUCUAUACAAAGACUUUAGCAUAGUCGAUUCAAUUAGUAAUGGAGUCGACUUUACUGCAACUUUGUCACACAAUUAUAAGUUCACAAAAGUGCAUGUGGUUUUCAUCCUUUCAAACAUGUGUAAUGCAACCAGAUAUGAUGUAACAUGUACAAGCUCAAUAGGUAUGCAUUCACAUGGUAGUAAAGCACAGAAACAUGUUCAACAAUAUAUCAACCAAUCAGCAUUAGAACAUGUAACAUAACAACAACAUAGGUGUGUUAUUAAAAAUGUGUUGUCAUCAUCAAAAACCAGAGUGAUAUAGAUAUUGUGUUGUCAACAAUCUUAACACUCUCUAACCCUUUAACCAAAAUAUAGGCAAUCCAAACAACAAAGAUCUGCCGCAAGGUAUCCCCUUGAUAACGGUCUAAAAAACAUUAUUUUCAUACUUAAAAUCAACAUCAAAACACACCUUUUAUGACUUAGAAUUAGCUUGAAAUCAUGUAAUUUGCUUAAGUUAGAGAAUACGAGAGUCAGAGUGGGUUUUCUUGGUUUUAUGCUUGGUUUUUUCUUGUUUUUGAAGGAUUUAUCAGGAGUUUGAUGAAGAAAGUGAAGGAAGAGAAGUUUUGGAUGCAAAAGAAGGUGGAAAAUUGAAGAAAAUAAGAAUUGUAGCCACCGCCGGGCAGUGUGACCUUCAAUGCAUUCUCUGUCAUGCGCUUAAGGGGACCGCCAAGGGGUGAGAAAAUAAUCGCACUCAUUGUCGGGCGGUGGACUCUUCAGUGGAAUCUCUGGAGGACGUUGAAGCGGUAGCGCUGAGGGGUGAGAUCAAGUGUCGCGCCCACCGCUGGGCGGUGUACUUAUGAGCCUAGGCUAAAAUUCUGAUAUUUUUCUGAGUUAUAAAUACAUUUGCACGAAUUAGAGAAGCUAUCUUUUGACAGAAAGGAUGUAGAAACACAUUCUACACGCCUUGGAGACGGAUUUUGGAUGCGAAAGCUCCGAUCUAUCAAUUCUAGGGUUAUCUUUUCCAUAUUUUCCAUUCAAUUCAUCUAGUUUCACCAUGAUUAUGGUGAACUAAACUCCUUUGUUGUUGGGGAACGAUGUAAUCCUAUUUGAAACUCUCUUAUAUAUUGAAAUUCUUACUUUAUUCAUCUGGUUUGUUUAUCAAUUGUUUGAGUUUUUUCUCCAUUAUAUUUGCAUGCUUUGUUUAAGACAUUAUUCAAUAGCAUAAUCUUUGAUUCUUUCUAUAUGGACACGUAUAGUUAAGUCUAGACAUGAGGGAAUUCUCUUGAUAGCAAUAUUACCUAGACAUAGGAAUAGGAGGAUCAAUUGCCUUAAGCUUCUGUACGAAUUAUGUAAUGCAUGAAUAAUUGCUAGGGAGACUAGACAUAGUAACUAGUAAUUAGAAGUAGACUUUAUUUAUCAAGAUAUUGAUAGUAGGAGAUUUUAGAAAGUGGCAUGAACAUUGAUAACAAAGUCAAAUUUAGUAAGAAUAGUAGGUAUUUGAGAGUGGAUUAGGAUGAACCUGUAAACCCCAACAACACCAUUCAUCUAUAUUGUUCAACUGUCAAUUGAUCAAUUCUCACACGCAUGUUUAUUUUUCGUGCAUUUAAAACUUAAAUUGUCGUUUAUUCAAGUCUUAUGAUUUCAAAACAUCAUAAGAAUGUUUAGGCCUAAGAGUCUUUUGGAAAACGAUACCCGAACUUAUCGUUUUAUUAUUACUUGAUAUGAUCUAGUACACUUGCCAGAGUGUUAACAAGUUUUUGGCGCCGUUGCCGGAGACCCGUGGUUUAACUAUUCAAGUAGUGUGAUUAUUGAUUGAAUUUGACUUGAUUUUUGUUUUUGUUUUGUUUUUGUUUUAUUUUUAUAUAAAAGUGUUUUUUAGGGUUUUGUUUCUUGUGUAUGCAGGAUACGAUUCGUACUAGAAGCAAGAAAAGUAUAGAACCUCUUCUUGAAGGCUUGAGAGGGAAGGUUCGAAGACCAUCUAGAGAAUUAUUCCCCUCUCCUGAGAGACUUUUGCAACCCUAACCAGAAGCAUCCAACCAGAGCACAAAAGAGAUGGCCAAGGAGGAAGCUCCUAGGAGAUGCACUCUGGCAGAUGCUACUACUAUUGUUGGCCCUCAACACUUUAAUAGCAUUGUAAGGCCGAGGGUCAAUGCUUUGAACAUGGAGAUGAAGUCGACGUUGAUACACUUGGUGCAAAGCAACCAGUUUAAUGGACUAUCACACGAAAGUCCAUAUGAUCAUCUCACCACGUUCAAUGAGAUCUGCAACACGGUGAAGAUCAACGGAGUUCCGGAUGAAACAAUCAAACUUAGCUUGUUUUCUUUCUCUUUGGGAGGCAAUGCUAAAUUGUGACUGAAUUCUUUUCUAGAAGAAAGCUUGACAACCUGGGAGGUUGUGGUGUCAAAAUUCUUGAACAAAUAUUUCCCGCAGUCUAAGAUCAACAAAGGUAAAUUGGAAAUUUCUUCUUUUAGGCAGGGCAUGGAGGAAACCCUAGGUCAGGUGUGGGACAGAUUUAAAAGCUUGUUGAGGAAUAUGCCUGUGCAUGGUUUUGAUGAAACAACUGUGGUUCUCACGUUCCUUGGAGGUCUUGGCACACAGUCCAAGCUUAUGUUAAAUGCCUCAGCUGGAGGUAAUAUCAAGAGAAAGACUGCUAAAGAGGCCUAUGAGUUGAUUGAAAGCAUGACGGCUAAUGAGAAUGAACCUCAUAAUGAAAGGGGCGUGCCACUUCAAAAAAGAGGAGUUCUUCAAUUGCCCACUGAAGAUGCCUUGUUUGCACAAAACAAGUUUUUAACUCAACAAUUGGAGAAUCUGACAAGGACUAUUACUCAAGUGCCUAACGAGUUAAAGAAUGUUUCGCAGGUACAACAACAACUCUGUGAUCGUUGUGGUGGAGACCAUAUCAAUGGUCAAUGUGCUUUUCCAGAGGAGGCCAAAGAAGAAGAAGCAAAUUACAUGGGCAACUGAUUUCAAUACCGUUAAGGUAAUUUCAAUCAAGGUAAUUACAGCCAAGGUUGGAAGAAUCACCCAAGCAUUGGGCAAAGUCAGAAUAAUCAAACUGGAAAAACUAGAGGCCAAUUUAACAGGCCAUAACAACCACCACUAUGGCAACAAGAUUCACUUUUGACUGAAAAAAUGAACAAUUUUGACGAGAAGUUCGACAAAUUUUUGAAGGUGUAUGAUUCCAAUUGCAAGAGCUAUGAGGCUAACUUCAAGAAUUUGGAGACGCAAAUUGGGCAGUUAUCCAAAAGGAUGGAGGUCACAGAGAAAAAUCAAUUUGGGCCUAAUACUGAAGUUAACCCUAGAGAAGAUUGUAAGGUUGUUGUGAGCAUGGUUGAGGAAAGAGUGGAAAAAGAAAUUUUUGAGUUAGGAAAAAGAUUGGAAAAAGAAGAAAUAUGUGAGGGAGAGGGUAGAGAAGAAAAAGAGAAAAAAAUAGAAAAAGAAGUGAAAAUUGAUAAAGAUGAGAGUGAUCUUCCUUACCCUAGAGGAGAAGAGAGAAAAGAGAGUAAGUGUGAGCCCUUUAGAGAAAUCUUCAAUCAAAUGGAGAUUACUAUGCCUUUGACCGAAGUACUUCAACAAAUUUUUGUCUAUGCUAGGCGUAUAAAGCAAUAUCUUGGAGAAAAGAUAGAUUUUAAAGAGAAAGCUAUUGAGGAACAGAAGGUUGUAGUGGCCCUUUGAAGAGAAAACACCCUCCAAAAAUGAAGGAUCCAGAAAGUUUUAUAAUUCCUUGCGCCAUUGGGAGUGUGAAGAUAGGGAAAACUUUACUUGAUUUAGGGUCAAGUAUCAAUUUGAUGCCCCUAUCUAUGCUGAAGAAGAUUGAUGGUCCGACACUAAAGCCAACAAAAAUUUCCUUGAUCAUGGCGGACGGAUCAUCAAAGAAACCCUAUGGUGUGGUGGAGGCGUGGUGAUUCGUAUUGAAAGCCUUGAAUUCCUGGUUGAUUAUGCUUAAAGAGGAUGGUAAGAUCCCGGUGAUUCUUGGAAGGUCGUUCAUGAAGAUGGCCAAAGUGGUCAUAAAUGUCUAUGAUGGGGUGAUUAGCUUAAAGACCAAGAAGAAAAAGUGAUUUAUAAUGUCCUCAAAGAGAAGCAUAUGCGAGUAAAAAAGAGGGCUAAGCAUAAAGCUUCAUAGAAGGAUGCAACAAUUCUUAGACCUAAAUUUGCUAAAGUGGUCAACAAAGGUAAUAAUUGUGUUUUAAUGCAGGUAAAGGAAGAAGAGAAAGUUGACAAAGGAGGGACAAUCCACUUUGACUUGAAGGAUGCAUCAUUCAAGCUUGGUACACCUGUGAGAUACAAGAAGAAGUUGUGGGUGGUGAAAGGCUUUAAAGACAAUGGAGUGAUAGAGAUUGAAGCUCCAUAUUCUAGGAGAGUCAAGAAGGUGGACCGGAAGCAACUCAUGAGUUAGUGUGAUGAAGGUAAAGAAGACACCAACAUGAAGGAUGGAACAUGAGCUUUAUUGGGUCAAGCUAGUGACAUUAAAAGAGCACUUGCUAGGAGGCACCACAAUGACUUUUGAACAUUAUUUUCUUUUGUUAAUUUUGGUUUUGUAAUUUUUGGAUAUUGUUAAACAAUUUUUAUUGGGUAGCAUUCACUGAGAGAUGCUAGAUGAUUAUGUAUUCACUGAAGGAUACAGGAAGGUACACCUAUUGAAGGGUGUUGGUAAGGAUUGCACUUACUGAUAAGUGCUAGAAAGGUUUGGGUCAGGCUCGUGACGUUAAACAAACGCUUACUGGGAGGAAACCCAAGAUUUUCUUAUCUUUUGUUUUGUGAUUUGAAUUUUUUGUAUAGGUUUGCUUCUGUUGAGUAGUGUAGGUUAAUGUACUUGGUAAAAAACUUUUCUGUUAUGAUGGUUUAACUGUUUGAUUGCAAGAGAUAAUUGCUUGAUGAUGCUUGCUAUUAAUGAUGAUUGAGAUUGCCAUACGUUGAUGUACAGGUGGAGUGUUCACUAGCUAUGUGAACAAAUGCAUUGUGAUUUUGUGAUUGUGAUUAUGAGGCUAAGUAGGGUAUUCUUAUGGAUGUUGGAAUAAGCUUGUGUGAGGUUUUUGAGCUCCAGAGUUCUUAUUGAUAUAUUUGCUAUCUACUUGAAAGCAUGAGUGAUUUUGCCUGAAUUUCUGUGAUUGAUUGAAUUGCAUGUAUGUGUCAUAUGAUCAAGGUCGUUUUUGAAUAAACCCCUUUCUAGCCAAAUGAAAUUUUCAUCCCAUAUGAAAAAAGGAACAUCUUAUGUUCUACUCUUUUGAACCUAAGUCUUAAACAGGAUGUGAAAACCCUUGCUCUUGGCCAGGAGGACAAUUAUCUAAGUGUAGAGAUGUGUUAACUCCUUGGUUUUACAUCUUUUUCCGUGUUUAACAGGCUAGGAAAGGUAAUUUUAGUAUUUAAUUAUUUAGAAUUAGGCUUAUUUUAGGAUUUUCUUUAAAUUAUAGUUUUUUAUUUUAAAUUCUAGUUAAAAAUAGAUUUUUAAGAGUAUUAAUAGUGUUUUUAAAUAAUUAGGAAAAUCAAUCUUUUUGUAUAAUUUUUAAUAAAAUUCUUUUUCUUUAGUAUUUGAUUAAGUAGGUUUUAAUUCUUGAGUUGCUAAGAAACCCUUCUCUUCUUUGCAGAUUGGCCUUUAUUCGUAAUUGAUUUUGAUUGCAGUGGUGCCCCUACUCAAUUGGGCUAAAUUUGGUCAACAAAAGCCAUUUGGGUUUUUCUGCAUUGGGUUCAAGUAAAACACAGAACUUCAAUUAGUGGAAGUUUUGGGGUAGGCGCUGCUGCCUCAGGGGGUCAUGGAUUUGAAGGCUCAUUUGCAAAAGAAAGACCCUUUGUGCCAGGGUUUCAUUGUGAGAAAGAUUUGAAGAAGAAGCUUAGCUCAUGUCAUUACCCAGAGGAGCAUGAAGACGAACUAGGGCACGUGCCGAAAGCCUGAAUCAGCGAAGAUAGUGAAGGAAAUCAGAGGGCUUGAAAGAAAAGUGAAUGAAGACCGUUGGAUGAUGAAGUGAAAAUGUCAAAGGUUCCUCUUUCCCUUCUUUCUCUCUGGUUUUUACCUUAUAUAAAGGGCUUGUAAUAAUGUAGACUAGAGUGUAGUGUAGAGAGUAGAGAGUGUGUGCAAAAAUCUAUGUUCAAGAGAGAUCGAGUUAGGGUUUUUAUGCUUUUUGCAGAAUGGUUUUUUGUAUUCCUAGACUGUUGAGCGAGAUUCACGGUGGUGACAUCCCGUGAAUGUCUCGGCAUCGCUCUUGCGAUAGCGUUUUUCUUGUAAUUUCCUUUUGUAGUCAACGUUGAUUGCUUCGCGGUUACUCUAUUUUGGUUUUAUUUUUUAUUUUAUGGAAUUUUAAUGCUUUCUUUAGUUCAAUCUUAAUUUUAGUUUGUUAAUUGCCUUCGAUAGUGGUAGAUGAAUCUUGUUUUGAUUUUUGAUGCCUUUAGAUACUUGAUUUCGUGCAUUUGAUAGUAUGAUUUGGUCUUAAUCUGUUUCAGCAUUUAGGUUUUAGAUGUUAAUUUCAAUUUUAUUGCAUACAUUGCUUUUCUGUUUCGGCAUUUAGGUUUUGUUAAAUUUUAGGUACUUUUCUGAUUUGAUGAGGUGUAUAAUCUGUUAAGGAGAGUUGUUGUUACACUGUCUUGAUUUGAAGUAGUUAGGGUAAAUGCUCUAAAUUUUUAUUGCAUUGAAUAUGAAUUAGGAUUUGUUUAUGCUGAAUUGGUUUCAUUAUGAACUUUGAAGAUGAAUUAGAGAUUAGGAGUAGCUUUUAAUUGCAUUUAAGUGAGGUUUUUGUUCCUGGUGAAAAACAUGAAUUCGAAUUGAACUUCUUGUAGUUUGGUAAAUUGAGUGGAUGUUACUCAUUUAAAGUUGAAAAUGAACUUAAAAACCCUAAAGUGGGCAUAUUUUAUAGGAUUCUCUGCAAAUUUGAUUCUGAGUUUUGAUUUUAACCAAUGAUUCUUUAUUUACCCAUUAGUUUUAGGUGUUUCUGUUGAGUUGGUUUUAAUUUUAGUUUGCAGUUCUUUUAUUUUCAAGUUUAAGAUUCCUAACGUCUUUGAUUUAUUCAUUUCCUUUUGAUAGUUUUGUUAAUUCAU
rnacentral:lncRNA from 1 species